AUUUUUUUUUAGUCAUUACAGUUUUGUUUUUCGGGAUCUAAAGCAUAACAGAUUUUUUCAUGUCCUGUUAUACCCGAUUUUUUUAUGACUUAAAUAACCUUUUUAGUAAUGACAGACUUUUUGUUGGCAGAUUUGUUUUUGAAAUUUUGAUACAUCUAGUUACAUGAGAAUUAUUAUAUAGCCUCACGUAAAACUAAAGUUCGACGACACAACUCCAAAUCUUGCGGUUUGAUUGUAUCUUUAAACAGGUUCAUUUUUUUCUUCAUAAAAACGGGUUUGACUGCAUUUGGUUACGAAAUACUUUUAAUAGAUCCGGAAGAUAUGUUUAAUUUUUAGAAAUCAAAAAUGUUUUUAUUUUAGGAGAAAUUUUAUUAAAAACGUGAUUAAAGAUUAAUUAGUCUUUUUACACAUAUUUGAGUUAUAAUAGUUUUUGACUUGGAUUGGGAGUUAUUUAUGCUAAAAUUUGAGUCAAUUUGGGCAAAUCUAAGUUUUAAAAAUAUUAAGACAACCAAUACAUAAUUUUUGGAUGUGUAUGUGAUUUUUUUUUUAUGAAUAUUAAUUGAUGUAUUAAUUGAUCACUUCAUUUGUUAGGGAUAAUGAAGCAACUAUGACCGAAAAGAUCGCUACAGAUGUUUCUAACAUGCUGAAUAAUUACUCACCGUCAAGAGAUUUUGAUGGUUUGAUUGGGAUGGAUGCUCAUAUGAAAGAAAUGGAAUCGUUGUUAUGCCUAGACUCUGAUGAAGUAAGGAUGAUUGGGAUUUGGGGUCCGUCUGGGAUUGGGAAGACCACCAUUGCCAGAGUCUUAUAUAGCCAAUUUUCUGAAAAUUUUGAAUUGAGUAUCUUCAUGGGGAAUAUCAAAGAGUUGAUGUAUACAAGACCAGUGUGUUCUGAUGAGUAUAGUGCGAAGAUUCAGUUACAGAAACAAUUUUUAUCCCAAAUAAUCAACCACAAGGAUAUGGAGCUUCAUCAUUUAGGAGUUGCACAGGAUAGGUUGAACGACAAGAAAGUGCUUAUUGUUCUCGAUAGCAUUGAUCAGUCAAUACAACUAGAUGCUAUUGCAAAAGAAACUCGGUGGUUUGGCCAUGGAAGUCGGAUUAUCAUCACAACACAAGACCAAAAACUUUUGAAGGCACAUGGAAUCAACCAUAUUUACAAGGUGGAGUUUCCAUCAGCAUAUGAAGCUUAUCAGAUGUUUUGUAUGUAUGCUUUUGGCCAAAACUUCCCUAAUGAUGGUUUCGAGGAGCUUGCUUGGGAAGUUACAAAACUUUUAGGUCAUCUACCUUUGGGACUAAGAGUUAUGGGUUCCCACUUCCGAGGAAUGUCUAGGCAUGAGUGGGUAAAUGCUUUACCAAGGUUAAAGAUUCGCCUUGAUGCUAGUAUUCAAAGCAUUUUAAAGUUCAGUUACGAUGCCUUAUGUGAGGAAGAUAAAGAUUUGUUCCUUCAUAUAGCUUGCCUUUUCAACAAUCAAGAAAUGGUGGAAGUUGAAGAUUAUCUUGCUUUAAGUUUCUUGGACGUGAGGCAAGGGUUUCACCUCUUAGCCGAGAAAUCUCUCAUAAAUCUUAAGUUUUUAUCUACUAACUGUACACGUAUAGAGAUGCACAAUCUACUAGUGCAAUUAGGUAAAGACAUUGUUCGUCAUAAGCCUGGGCACCAAUCCAUUUGUGAGCCUGGGAAGCGUCAAUUUUUGAUUGAUGCUAGAGAUAUUUGUGAAGUACUCACUGAUAACACGGUAAGUUAUAUUAUUAGUCUCUUGUUUCCUUGUUCUUUACAAAUUAAAUACGUUCAAUAGCUAAUUAUCUCUCGUUUUCUAACUUUUUCUUGUCAUUUUACAGGGUAAUAGAAAUGUUGUAGGUAUAUUUUUGGAAGUAAGAAACCUAUCAUGCCAAUUAAAUAUAAGUGAGAGAGCUUUUGACGGAAUGUCAAACCUUAAAUUCUUAAGAUUCCAUGACCCAUAUGACGACGAAAGUGAUAAAUUGUACUUGCCACAAGGGUUGAAUAAUCUACCUCAGAAACUUAGAUUAAUAGAAUGGAGCCGGUUUCCGAUGACUUGUUUGCCUUCUAAUUUUUGUACGAAGUAUCUAGUCGAGAUACGUAUGAAGAACAGCAAACUUCAGAACUUGUGGCAAGGAAAUCAGGUACAUAAUUGUGGUGUUUCUCUCCAAUUUUAUAAUAUUGGGUUUUUCUUUCUUACAUAUUUAGGUGUCAAAAAUGAGAGAUCUCCCGGUAUUAUUUCUUAGAAGGCUAUCUCUUGUAAUCUUUAUUAUGCUUGGUGACUUGUAGUAUCCCUCCAUGAUUAUUGGUUAGUAUCAUACUAUCGUUGGUGAAUUGUAGUAUCCCUCCAUUAUUAUUUGAGUUUAAUUUUAAUGUGUUUCUUUAUGUUAUCUUUAUUUUUUUGUGCAGCCCCUUGGAAAUCUCAAGAGGAUGGAUUUGAGUGAGUCGAAACACCUAAAAGAACUACCUGAUCUCUCAACUGCCACUAACCUUGAAUAUUUGAUUAUGUCUGGAUGCAUAAGUUUGGUGGAGCUCCCCUCCUCUAUUGGAAAGCUUCGUAAAUUGCUAAUGUUGAGUUUACGAGGCUGCUCAAAGCUAGAGGCUCUUCCAACCAAUAUCAACUUGGAAUCUCUCGAUUACCUUGAUCUCACUGAUUGCUUAUUGAUCAAAAAAUUUCCUGAGAUCUCUACAAACAUUAAGGAUCUCAAGCUCACGAAAACUGCAAUAAAAGAGGUACCUUCGACGAUCAAGUCAUGGUCUCAUCUUCGUAAACUGGAAAUGUCAUACAGUGAAAACCUCAAGGAACUCCCGCAUGCUCUUGAUAUCAUCACAACGCUGUACAUUAACGAUACAGAAAUGCAAGAAAUUCCUCAGUGGGUUAAGAAAAUCUCUCAUCUUCAGACACUUGGGCUAGAGGGAUGCAAGAGGCUGGUAACAAUCCCACAACUUUCAGAUUCCCUAUCACAACUAGUGGUAACAAACUGUGAGUCAUUGGAGAGACUUAAUUUCUCCUUUCAAAAUCAUCCAGAGAGAUUUCUCUGGUUUCUAAAUUGCUUCAAGCUAAAUAAUGAAGCGAGAGAAUUCAUCCAAACUAGUAGUACCCAUGCGAUCUUACCUAGUAGAGAAGUGCCUGCAAACUUCACUUACCGAGCUAAUGGGAGUUCCAUAAUGGUAAAUCUGAAUCAUAGGCCUCUUUCUACAACUUUGAGAUUUAAGGCUUGCGUCUUGCUAGUUAAAAAAAUUGACAAUGAUAAGGAGGAGGCCGCUGAUAGGAGAACAACUGUAAUUCCUAGAAUCAGGGAGAACGAUAAAAUUGGCGUCGAUGUUCCAUGGAGAUAUCGCUUUCACGUGCCUACCAUUUUAGAAGACCAUUUGCUCACCUUCCAAAUUGAAGCUGAUGUGACGUCCAACAAGCUUUUAUUUUCGUUCGACAUCAAGGACAACAACCAAGCGGUGAUUAAAGAAUGUGGAGUACUCCAACUCUAAGUUCAUUUGGGUCUCUUUCGGAUUUUUGUAAAUAGGAUUUGUUGACGUUGAAGAAACCUUCGGGAAAUCACGAGCUCUCACAAGGAGUCCGGACCGCCUCCAGGAAUGGAGAAAUCCAAAUCGAAGCUGAAAAUAUGGCUACUCAACGGAUAUGGCAAAAAUCAUGAGACAAUGAGAUUUUUGGACUGUGUUUGGCAUUUUCUUGCAUUGUUAUUAAUUUUCUCGAGAAAAUGAGACUCUUAAUUUCUAGAUACUAGAUCGACAAUUUGUUUUCUUCAACACUGAUCAUCUUUUUAGUAUCCGCAAACUAAAUCAACACUUCACUUUUUUCUUCCUUUUAACUAAACAAAAAAAAAAUAGAGAAGCAACUAUCUACACAAAUAGUCCAUUAAGCAGAUAAACUCCCCGGUUUAGAUAAAUCACAUAGCCAACUCAAAAGAACCUUAGCACCUUUCUCCCAUGAACAAUCAAGCAUCAUGUCAUGAGCAACACCUUUAAUACAAACCGGUUCAACCUCAUAAAACCUCCCGGUUUCCUUCAGUCCUUCAUCGUCCUGGAAAUCCAUAACCCAUUUCGGUUUAAUACAAGUACCAAGAUUGAAAAACUUUCAUGUUUGGUGAUGCGUUCUUAGUUCUUACCACUAUGAAGUCAUCUUUGGCACCUAAAACAAGAACCUUGGUCGAAUUCUCCAUUGGUUUUGGUACUGGAAGUGAUGCGUUUAGCUUUCUCAAAUCAAACAACGGUAUUCGUGAACUCUCACUCAUAAGAUCCUGGUAACUAAAUCGAAAUAAGAGAGAAAACAAUCUCUUUAGAUUAUUGAAACGUGAUUUAGAUUCAAGUUGACUAUCGAGCUAGAUUAUACCGCUUCACAAGUUGAUCAUCCAUGGCUUGAGAGAAGAAUGUUUCUCGACAAAGAGGAAUAGAUUUCUGAAAACCUUUAGCAGCUAAACUGAGAGUAACCUACUCAAGAACAAACAUUGUUGAAAACAUGACCCUAGCAAGAUCAAAGGCAGAACAAGAGCUUUACCUUAAAAGCAGCCACAGGUUUAGAAAAGAGAUAACGUAACACUAAGCCGCUGAACAAAGAAAGAGAAUCCCAAACGUUACAUAUAAGCUAGCUAAAAGAAGAAGAAGUUCUCUGAUAUAGGAAAUAGCCAAUGGUUGUGACAAGUUACCUAUUACCGGAAGGUGGAACCGAGCAAACCAUUACCGCCCCUGAAAGCUCUGGAAACGCAUUUUCCGUACCUGAAUACGAAACAACAAACUCAUCGGUUAUCGUAUAGGCCUGAUCCUAAAAACGCAACUCAUUUCGAUGUAUCUACACCUUACCUAAUGAACGCUUGUUUACAAUAUUUGCCAAGUAAUAUUGAACAAUGAGUCCUCCAAAAGAAUGACCAACAAGAACAGGAGGUGAAGAGCCAAGAUUCGAUUCUAUAAAAUCUGCAAUAUCACUUGCGUGCGUCUACUACACAAACAAGUAAUACAAAUCUUGCUGAAUCAAGUAAUGAACCAAUGAAGACAAUGCACAUUGCAAUUUUCAAGUACCUGAAGUGUUCCAGCAACUGUUCCCAAAGGUUCAUCACUUUCACCCUAAAAGAUUCAAAGAUGACAACAUCACAAUUCACACACAAAUCACAUAAUUUCAAUUCAAAGUUUGAAACUUUAUGUUCUUGAUAGUCUAAAAAUCAAAAUUUUGGUCAUUUGAGAAUUUACCUGACCUAAUAAACUAACAGCAUAAGAAUCAAACCCAGAAGAAGAGAAGAAAGGUAACCAAUUUUCAGCCCAACACCAAGCUGCGUGAUAGCUUCCAUGUACAAACACCAAUGGUGGAUUCUCUCUUUCGGAUUUGGAUUUUCUCUGCUCGAUUACCUCCAUUUUUAGACCAGAGGGAAGCUUGUGCAAAAGGCGGGUUUGCCCCUUUUUCAGGUUGUAUGGAAUCGUUGUUCUAGGGGAAUUGGUGAGAGCUGCUAUGGGCAUUUUGAAGUAGGAUAGGCAUGGGAACGAGGGAAGUGAAGAAGACGCCAUCAUCGUUAUUCGUUAAGCUCAGAGCUAUUCUGAUUUCUGAAAAGGAAAAGCUCUCAAGAACUUUUUUAAUCUGAAGUUUUACUGUUUUACGUUAAAUAAAUAUUGUAAGGAAAAAACUAUAGAAUAUAAACACUGUUAAUAUGCUUGAAAAUUAUUUUGAAAAUACUCUAAAAUUUCUUAAUAAACUCUUGAAAAUUCGAAAGUCCAAAAGAUAUGUAUUUCAUAUAUCUUACUCCGAGUUAUUCAAUUUUACACAUAACUAACUAAAAGUAAAUAUAUUUUUUAGUAUGAAUCUGAAAUUUAAGAGUUUUUUUCAGAUUUUUUGGAAUUUUUCAAGAAUUUAUUCUCAUAUUAGAAAUAAAUUUCUUAUUUCAAUAUUAAUAUUUUUGAUCGAUAUUUAGAAAAGUUAACAGAAAUUACUUUCGAUCAGCUUUUGGGUGUUAAAUCAAUACUAUUUAAAUUUUUGUGUAUUAUAACAAAUUAAUUUAUGGUUUUCUUGGACCCAAAAGGAUUUUUCUUGUCCUUUUCUCUCUCCUGAAGCGACUUUUCUGGCGAUUGUCUUCUUUCUGCCCUAGCGCCGCCGUUGGUCGGCCUCUCGCCGGCAUUCGUGCCCGUUCCGAUGCCAAAGAAAAAGAAGAAGGCCUCUCGCCUCUUCCCUGUUCAUUCUACCUCCAAAUUUGAGCGGGUCCUCGCUUCCUCUGCGGGCUCGUCUUCGCUUCCAGCUUCCCGAGAUGCUCUCGUCUCUCCGCUGCCUCUCAUCUCUGCUCCAGCGUCCGUCAGUUCGUUUGUCGCAGCGGUGUCGUCUCCUUCAGUCGAGAUUACGGGAUCUCUUCUCGGUUCUCCUGAGUCGCAUUUGGCCUCUGUUUCCCCCGGAUCUGCUUUGGGCGCCGCCACUUGUCCCUUGAAGGAGGGAUCUGUAGCCUUGCUCUUAGAGUCGUUUGUGCCUGUUAUCUCCGUUGUGACCCCAGCGUAUAAGAUCUCCUCCGUUGUUGUCACUGGUUCUAUUUUAGGAGGCUCGUCUUUGGCUGGAGCGGACCUGCAAUCCAUUACUCCUUUAGUCGAGGCAGCGAGUUGUGUCUCCAAGCUUCUGGGUUCUUCAAAGCCCAGUACCUCUAUAGUGGUCCCAGCGUCUGAGAUCUCCUCCGCCGGGGUCCAAGUUCCCUUUGUUGUCGUCCCAGCGUCUGAGAUCUCCUCCGCUGGGGUUAACGUUACCUCUGUUGUUGUCCCAGCGUUUGAGAUUUCCUCCGCUCGGGUUAACGUCAGUACUUCGGGCUGCUUGCUUUCAGAUGGAGCUACUCGGCAAAUCAACAAUUCCUCUGGUCAGAACAAUGUGCCUUCUUAUGCUGAAGCUGCCAAGUCUCAAAGCUCAGAUCGUCCUUGGGCUGCCAAAUUCAAGGACUCUCUAAGGAAUCUUAAACAGAUGGAUCUCCCUUCCUUCUUGGAGGAUGGUACCCCCGUGGUUGUAGCUCCUCCGUCGAUUCUUCUAAAGACUGCGGAUAUGUGGAAGGGUCAUCUAGUUGCCCAAUUCCACGGUCUCUGCCCUCCAUCGAUGAAGAUCUUCACGGACCUUAAUCCAAUUUGGGGUAAGUUUGGUAAUAUCACAGUGCGGAUCAUCUCCGAAACAGCGGCUCUUAUCUUCAUUCCCUCGCAGGCUACUCGUAAUUGGGUGGUGGAUAUUGGCUUUUGGCACGCUGGGAACUGCUCGUGUACUGUGUAUCCUUGGUCUCCUGAUGGGCCUCUCGAAUUGGAGGAGCUCCAAUUUGCUCCCACCUGGGCAGUCCUUAAAAAUGUCCCCCCUCACCUCUAUUUUUUGGAAGGUAUCAGUGUCAUUGCUAGUGGCAUAGGAGAACCCCUUCAUACUGAGAAGUCUUGGUUGGAUCCGGUUAAUAUUGGGACUACUAAAGUAAAGGUUAUCAUAAAGUUGGAUUCAGUUCUCCCAACCACUGUGGUUGUCCGCGAUAUCCAAGGAAAUUCUGCUAGGGUUAAUGUUGAGUAUCCUCGCCCUCCUCCCAAGUGUCUUAACUGCGAGAGGUAUGGCCACUUACUGAGUCGAUGUCCUAAACCUCUAAUGAAAAAACUCCCUUUCAAGACAGUUAAGGCCGCAGGCUCCAGGGAAGUGUCUCAUCCUUCCCUUGUUUUAGCUGCUUCAGGGUCUGAUUCAGGAGUUGAGACGGCUAGUGUGGCUCCUAGGGAUUCCCGACCCCUAAAGUUAAGAGAAGGUGCUCCCGUUCUAAGAGAAGAGCUACUAGUCUCCCUCCAAAAGUCACCGGUUCCACUGCUGUUGAUAAGGGGAAGAACAUUAUGUAAUCUUCUUCUGUUCUAAGUAAGAAGUGGGUGGCUAAGGUUAUCGUUGAUCAGGGUAUUAAGAUGCUGCCACCUUUGGUGCCAGUGGCUCCUGUCAGCUUGCAGAAGGUUUACUCCUCUUCCCCCCUGACUGUUGAUGUUCUUGACUCGGAUUUAGUCAAGAGGAAGGUAGGCAUUGGGGUCCCGGAUAUGGCAGAGUUGUUGAUCGAUGAUUCCCUGUUUCCAACCCCUCCUGGUUGGGGGGCUAUGACAAAGAAGAAGAGAAAGAAACUAAUGAAAAUUUGGCACAACAAGAUGAGAUCCGGAGCUCAAGCUAUUGCAAGAGGAGAUCCCUCCUCGAGCAAGGCUGGAAUUCAUUGAGACCUCGUUUCAGUUAAUAUCUUUUUGGAUAGUAUGACUAUUUUUUGCUGGAAUAUUAGAGGCUUAAAUAGCCAUUCUCGUCAGCGAGUAGUCCGUAGCUGGAUUGCUUCGAAUAAAUUACUUGUAGGCGGCUUUUUGGAAACUCAUGUUGCAAAGGAGAAUGCUGCAACUGUUUUGGCGUCCACCCUACCGGGUUGGAAAAUGGAUAGCAACUAUUGUUGCUCAGACUUAGGGAGGAUCUGGAUUGUUUGGGACCCUUCGGUGUCUGUUUUGAUCUUUAAGAAAUCAGAACAAAUGAUCUUAUGCAGUAUAAAGGUGCCUAAUGUCGCAAUUUCUUUUGCUGUUGCUUUUGUUAAUGGAAAGAAUUCUGAGUUUGAGAGACGGAUGGUAUGGGAGGAAAUUAGCGUUGUGGCUUCUUCUUCUCCGCUGAUUUUUACCCAUUGGUUGCUGAUGGGAGACUAUAAUCAGAUUGCUGCAUCGUCUGAACACUAUUCUGUGAGUCAGUCAACCUUUUCCCUUAGAGGCCUUGAUAUUUUCCAAGAGUGUUUGAGAGAUAAUGAUCUGGCUCAUCUUCCAAGCCGUGGAGUUUUCUAUACCUGGUCAAAUCAUCAACAAGCUAAUCCUAUUCUCAGAAAGUUGGAUAGAGCCUUAGGCAAUGGAAUGUGGUUUAACUCAUUCUCAACCGCCAUUGUUGUCUUUGAGCCUCCAGGUGAUUCUGACCAUUCUCCUUGUGUUAUUCAUUUGGUAAAUCAAUCUGUUAGUUCAAAGAAGUCCUUAAAGUAUUUCUCCUUCCUUGCGACUCAUCAUUCUUAUCUGUCUUCUAUUGGAGAUGCUUGGGAGAAGAAGACUCUUAUUGGUUCUUGUAUGUUCAUGUUGAGGGAGCGGUUAAAGCAUUCAAAGCUUGCUUGCAGAGCCUUGAACAUGUCAGGUUUCGGAAAUCUCCAACAGAAAACAAAAGGCGCCUUAAUUCAACUUGAAGACAUUCAGAGGAUGCUUUUCUCAAACCCCUCGGGUUCUCUCUUCAGACAAGAGCAUGUUGCCAGGAAAAAUUGGGACUUCUUUUCAUUGGCCUUGGAGUCUUUUUACAGGCAAAAAUCCAGAAUUCGUUGGCUGCUUGAGGGUGAUGCGAAUACGAGAUUCUUUCAUAGAGCGGUGAUUGCUCAUCAGGCUAUUAAUCUCAUCAAGUACCUCAGAGGUGAUGACAACUCUAAGAUUGAAAAUGUGAACCAGAUAAAAGACAUGAUUGUUGCUUACUACUCUUAGCUCUUCGGGAGAACAUCAAUACGGUUCCUUUUUCUGUUGACACUAUCAUGGCUAUUCAUCCCUUUCGCUGUGACACUUUACUGGCAGCCAAGCUUUCGGCUAUCCCGUCUGAUGAGGAGAUUACUCUUUCCGUCUUCUUGAUGCCUAAGAAUAAGGCUCCGGUCCUGAUGGGUUCCUGGCUGAAUUCUUUUGGGACUCUUGGCCUGUGAUUAAGAAAGAGGUUAUUUCUGCGGUGAAAGAGUUUUUUUCCACAGGUUAUCUUCGUAAGAAGUUCAAUAUCACAGCGAUUACUCUUACUCCAAAGGUGAUAGGGGCUGAUAAGUUAUCUCAGUUCCGUCCCAUAGCUUGCUGCAACACCAUCUACAAGGUCAUUACCCGAAUCAUAUCCACACGGCUCAAGCUUUUCAUCUCUCAGGCAGUUCAAAAUAAUCAGGUUGGGUUUAUUAAAGGUAGAUUGCUCUGUGAGAAUGUUCUGUUAGCUUCGGAAUUGGUUGAAGGGUUUCACUUGGAGGGGGAGGUUACUAGGGGCUGUCUUCAGAUAGAUCUCUCCAAAGCUUAUGAUAAUGUGAAUUGGGAUUUUCUUCUCAAUAUUCUAGUGGCAAUGGACCUUCCUCAUAUUUUCGUCAAUUGGAUCAAAGUUUGUAUCUCUACUCCGUCUUAUAGUGUGGCCUUCAAUGGGGAGCUCAUCGGGUUCUUCUCGGGAAAGAAGGGUAUUCGUCAGGGAGAUCCCAUGUCUUCCCAUCUUUUUGUCCUCGUGAUGGAUAUUCUGGCUAAGUUCUUAGACCGGGGCGCGGUAAAUUCUGUGUUUCAGCUCCAUCCAAAGUGCUUGGUUCCUAUGGUAUCUCACCUCAGUUUCGCUAAUGAUGUCCUUGUGUUCUGCAAUGGUUCUGAAUCUUCUAUAGCUGGUAUUCUUUCGAUCUUGGCUGACUUUGAAACUUGUUCUGGUCUAGGAGUCAACAAGCAGAAAACGGCGCUUCUCAUUGAUGGUGGUGACAUGACUGGUUUGAGAAAUCUUUCUGAAAGAUUUGGCAUCUCGCAUGGGUCUCUACCGGUUAAGUAUCUUGGAGUCCCGUUAAUGACUCAGAAAAUGCAUCCGCAUGAUUAUCAACCUCUUAUUGAUAGAAUAAACCUGAAAUUCUCUUCUUGGACUGUGAGGCAUAUGUCUUUUGCAGGUAGACUGCAACUCCUGAAAUCUGUAAUUUAUUCGACGAUCAACUUCUGGACCUCUAUGUUUAUUCUUCCCAAUCAAUGUCUCCACAAGUUAGAGCAAAUGUGCAACUCCUUCCUUUGGAAAGGAGCCCCGAACUCGGCCCGCGACGUUAAGAUUGCAUGGGAUGUCGUUUGUACUUCUAAGGAAAGUGGAGGGCUCGGUCUCAAGCGGUUGGUUUGUUGGAAUAAAGUGUUUGCUUUGAAGUUAAUUUGGCUGCUCUUUACUAAGGCUGGGUCACUGUGGGUGUCUUGGGUUAGAAUGAACCUAAUUGGUACUAGGAAAUUUUGGGAUUUAAAUCCUUCAAACUCUGGCAGCUGGAUCUGGAAGAAGUUAUGCAAGUUGAGAAGCGUGGCUAGACCCUUCAUAGUCUGUGAAAUUGGUUCUGGUGAUACAGCUAGCUUUUGGAUGGACAAUUGGACCGAACUUGGUCCUUUGCUGAAUCUAACGGGCCAAACUGGGCCUCAAGUGGUUGGCCUUCCUCUUUAUUCUGUAGUGAGGGAUGCUCUUCGUGGUAACUGUUGGUGGAUUUCCUCAAGUCAGAGUAGGAAUCCCAUUAUCACCCUCCUCAAAAGUGUUUUACCUGAUGUGAGUAGUGUGUUUGAGUGUGUGGAGGAUGAUGUUUAUUUGUGGAAGCCAGAUCAUCAACCUCCAGCAAACUCUUUCUCUUCUCCUAAGACUUGGCUGGCUCUUAAUCCGCCUUCUCCACCUGUCUUUUGGCAUAAGUCAGUGUGGUUCAAGGAUCAUAUCCCAAAGCAUGCAUUCAUUUGUUGGGUUAUGGCUUGGAACAGGCAACAUUCUCGUGACAGACUUCGACUCUGGGGUCUUUCGAUCUCUCCGAUGUGUUUGCUUUGCAACGCCCACCAUGAGUCAAGAGACCAUCUCUUCUUUAACUGUGCAUUCAGCCGUGAAGUUUGGUCUUCCUUUACUACAAGAGUGAACUUGUCUCCUCCUCUGCUCUUCAUGGAUUGCCUUGGUUGGGUUAAUUCUGCUACUAGGGAUCCAAAUCUUUCCUUGAUUAUCAAACUUAUUUUCCAGGCCUCGGUUUACCUCCUUUGGAAGGAGAGGAACGACCGUAUUCACUCUCUCCAGCACAGGUCGCCGGCGGCUAUCAUUAGGAGUAUCAGCUUGAUCCUGCGGUCUCGUCUAGACCCCCUGUCUAGGAAGCAGCUGAAUGCCCCUCCAGGUUUUUCUCUGCUCUCCUCGUGAUUCAGGUUCUUCAGUUAGUGGGCCGGUUGUUUUUGGUUAGGGCCUGCUUUCUCUCUUUCUAGCUUUCUGUCUUUUUCUUUUUCGGUUUAGGGCAUGUGUGCCUUUUGGACCAUUGGUCUUGUAAGUUUAAGAACAGAGGCCUGCGUGCCGUUUGGGCUUUAGGGCCUUGUAAUGUUUAUUUGGAAAUUUAUGAAUUAAAAAAAAAAAAAAAAAAAAAGAAGUUAUUUUUGUUGUUUAGUGAAUAGAUGGUAAAUUUAUAUGAAUUUUACUCUUAAUAAAAUUAUAAGUUAAAACAUUAUUAAACAAAAUUUUGGAAAUUGACUAGAGAAAAAUAUGUUUAGACAACAAAGUUUUAAACAAAAUCAUAAUUUUGGGUUCCCGCUAAGCAAUAAGGGAAUCCAGCCGCGCUCAUACGACAUAGUUGGUGGUGGCACCAAAUUCGUUUCUUACAUGAACUUGUCGAAUAACAUUCGCACAGUUCCAUCAUUAACAUUCUUCAACUCAAACACCGGAAGAUGAUGAGUGUAUCUAUGUAAGGAAGUUGAUGAUGUACAACUUCAGCGAUAUGCGGAAUCUCAGUUGCACUCAUGAGGUCAACGUAUUCGACAUGUCUCUUCAUUUGUUCACACCUCCACUGGCUCUGUGGAUCGACCAUUAGUAGGACGAGACCGUCAUGCUCAUUUUUCAAGUGUUUAUCAAGUUGAAAAUAAGUCUCCGAGGAAUUGCAAUCAUCGAGAGGACAAGACCUCAGUUUAGUCAUUUUGAUCAAAGAAUAAAUUACUAAAAUCACAUCUUUCAUCUUACUUUAAAUUUAGAUAUUACUGCGCCAACACUAGUCAAAAUUAGAUUGAAAAUUGCUAAAAAAACUCAUAGAUUUUGCUUAGUUUAAAUUUAGGGAUUCUGUCGCUGCCACUAGUCAAUAUAAAGUUAAUAAAUUACUUAGGAGUUUACAAAAUUUCAAUUUUGUUUUACUUUAAAGAUAAAUUAUUCAUUAAUAAUACUUUAACAUAACUUGUUUGUUUCUUUUCUAACUGAUCACAUAUAUAUAUUUUAAUUUGCCUUAAUUUACAUAUCACGGCGCCAACACUAGUAAGCUUUAUCAAGUAAGAAUUUACUAAUGACACAUAAUCAACUAAACUUAAAUUUAGAUAUUACGGCGCCGGAAUUAAUCAAGAUAAAAAUUUGCUAAAGAAACUUUUAUGUUUCUCUUAAUUUGAAUACUACUUAUGACACAUAUAUUUACUUGAAUUUAGAUAAUAUGCCAUAUUUGGUGGUAACUUACUAAAUAAACAUACAUAUUACUUAGCUUUAUUGUAGACUAGAUCAUAACCCGUGCUAUACAGCACGGGCAUUAAUAUUUUGUAUAAAUUAAAUUGUAUAUUUUGUUAUGUUUGCUAUGUCAAAAUUAUUUGUUAUAUUUGUCAAAAUUUAGUAAAAUAUAUUCAAAUAUAAUUAAAUUUAUUAAAACUUAAUAAAUUUAAAAGUUUUUUUUGUUUGGAGACGCACUAUCUACAUACAAAAUACCCGUUUCUAUUUUUUUUAGUAUUUUUAGGGCCUAAAACUUUUUAUCCAAACCAACCCAAACCCAACUGGACCCGACCCGAACCGAAUAUUUAGAAUUAUUCUAUUAGGUAGUAAAUCAUAUACCCAUUAAUCCCAAACCCGAACUCGAAUGGGUUACUCAUAUGCCCAGCCCUAUUCUCUGAUUUAAUUAUCUAAAAAAUCCCAAUAAAACAUAUGUUUUGCUGACUACUUUUUAUUCAAAAAAAUUUACAUCCUCUUCUGCCAAAAUCAUUUCAUAAGACAUCCCAAAACCCAUGGAAUAAUGAUUCCAUGAAUGAAGAAUCCUAAUUUGAAUAUACCAAGAGGUUUUGAAAGGUUUUAAGUUUUUGAUAGGUGUGUAUGUGAGAAGGUACAUCCACAUCGUGAUGGUAAUCUGCUUAUUUAUAAUUUUAACUUGCAUUAUACAGCAGGUAGGCUUAUAUUUUAGUUAAACUAAAAACUUUUAUUGUAAAGUUGAUUAUAAAUAUAUGAUAUUAUUUUAUUUGAUUUUAAAUGUAUAGUAAACUGCGAGUUGUAUAUGUUUUGUUGAUAUUAUUUAUAUUGUUUAGUGUUUAAAAUUAUAUACUUGUAUUUUGAUUGUUAUUUUUAGAGUUUCACCUGUAGUAUAUCAUCUUGUAUUAAUAUUGAUUUAAACCCGUCAAUUCUAGGAUUUUCCAGCUUGUAUUAAAAAUUGAAUCACAUUAUACACAUUAAAAAAUCUAAUAUGUUAUUAAUUAUUGUAGUAUAUAUGAUUAUAAAUUUUAAAAUAAUAUGUAUGAAAUUAAAUAUAAAUAUUCAAAUUAUGACACAGUACUCAGUAAUUUUUUUUCUUAAAUCUACUUUUGACCCGUUAUAGUAUUUUUUCAUGUAUUGAACAGUUUAUAUUCGUUUUUAAAAAUUCAAAUUGUGGCAUAUGCGAAAAAAACUCUAAUUAUUUUUUUAUAACGAUGGUAUUAUUUUUCGCAAAAAUAGAAUCAUAUAAAGAUGAGAGGUGAACUAUAAUAAUUAAUAAAAAAUUAAUAUGAUAAUUUAGAUAUCAAAUCUAAUUUGUUGAUUUUAAUUGGUUACUUUUUUGGAAAUUAAUAAUGUAUUUCGUUUUUGAGUUAAAAUUAAUUAAAUUAGUAUUUGACUUUUUAAUUUUUAAAGAAAUGAAUUAAUUUACUCUUUAAAAUUUUAUUUCUAAUGGCAUACCUAUGUAAUUACUUAAAAAAAAAUAAGGUUAUAUUUAAAAUGUACUUCCCAAAUAAUAUAGUAGGAUAAUAUGUCUUUGACACUACUCCAAAAUUAAGAAACAUAUUUCUAAACAAUAAAAUCAUAAGUUUUAGUUAACUUAAAUUUAGAUAAUGCGUCCCUACCACUAGUUAUAAGAUAAGCAAUACAAUGCUUAGGUUGACAAAGAAAAUGUUAUGCUUAUGAUUUUUCUAGACAAAAAAUUGUUGGGCUUAGGUCGACCAAAGAAAAAAAAAAUUGGGCUUCUUAUUUUCAUGUAGAACGAAAAAAUAGAGGAGGGUGGUUAUGGUUAUUGAUAUUGUGAAGAAGAUGAAAGUAAUAAGACAAGUAUAAGAAACACAGACGAUUUUUAAGGAGAUAAGGAAGAGAAGGUGUGUGAAGGGGAAAAAGGGUUUUGAUGAAAGGUUCGUUGUGGAUUAUAUAGAAACCAAAUCUGAAGCAUCCAAGAUUUGCAAAAACAUAAAAUGAAGGAGUGCGGUGGCGGAUUCUCGAAGCCCAUCAUCGGAGCCGUGUCAGAUUGUUGAGUUGUUGCUAGCUCUGGUUUUUAGGUUUAAGUGUGUUUCUGAUUUAGAUAGGUUUGAAGAAGUGGUUAAUUCUGUUGGAAUGUUAGCUCUGUUCCAACUUACGUGAGAUUUUGUCUAGCCUUAGAAGCGAGUGUAAAUACGUUCACAGUGAGCAAGAGCUCCAGAUGAAACCGAAUAAUACUUGAGAUCCGAUUUCUGAGCAAGGCAAGAAAGUGAAAGGAUAUGAAGAUGUCUGAGCAAGAAGAGGGAGUGAGAGAAGACGGUGAGGUUUUGUUCACUGAGCAUAUGAGGGAAUCAAUUGAUGAUGAAUGAUGUGGUGGUAGUGGUGUUAAUUUGUCGUUAAGUAAAUGUUUGGAUCAUUUACACAGAAAAAGGCUAUCAUAUGAUCUGAAUUACGUUUUAGGAGAGCCUGUUAAGUUUUGAUCUUUUAGGGUUUUAGAUCUAAAAUUAACAGAGCUCUUUGAUUUAACAUUUUGGAAAUUGAAUCCCAUGUUAAUGUAGAUGAAGAAUCUACCCAAGUGUGUUGAAAUAUGUUUGUGAAUUUAAAAACUGAUUUAUUCAUUUUUGGAGGAAUAUUGAUAGUUGGUUUUGUUACAUUUGAGAACGUAGAACAAUUGUAGAGCGGCGUGUAAUUGAUUUUGUUAGUUUGUGUUGAACUUAUUUAUUUUGAGAUAUAACAAAGAAAUGAAAGACGUCAACAACAAAUUGGUCUUAUAGUUCCGGUUAUUUAUUCUAUUCUAGAAUAGAUUAUGUUGGCUUAAGAAGACAUUUAGACUUAAGAGUUAUUUCCUCUGUUAAAAUAUAUGUCCUUCAUUCUUCCAAACGAUUAAGUGAUUUUAAGUUUUGUUUUUGAAAUGAUUAAAUGACUCUGAGUUUUGUUCUUCCAAAUUAAAUCAAAAAUAUUAACAACAUAAUCUGUUCUUAAGAAACUGAUUAGCGAAUCUCAAGAAAUACAUAUUUGUAAACAAGAAGAAUUUGGAACGAGAAUAAUAUAUUUAUAGGUUUCUUAACAACAAGAAUUUGGAACGAUAGAUUGUUUGGCUACCAACAACAUAAACAAAAAAACAAGCAAACGGAUAUAGUUCCAAAAUAAAUAAUUUUAUAUGGUCAAAACUACUGUUGCUAUAUAAAGCACAAAAACUAUAGAAACCCAACUCAACAAUAAUUAUCCUGUUACUUUUUUUGUUUUUUUGCUAUAUAAACUAAGCAAAAUUUUCAUAAGUUUGAACACUCAUAAACUCAUCUCUUCAAAAUAAUGGCAACUCAAACAAUAAAAAAGAUAUACAGUGUUUUGAUGAUUGUAGUUUUAUUUACGAUGAUGGUUUCAACCAACGCGAGUACGGUGGAAGUGUGUGUUAAGCAUUGUGUCCCGAACCAAUGCAUGAAAGUUUCUCAGAAGGCAACUCUUCCAUUAUGUGAGACUGCUUGCACAAAACUCUGCAAUGAAAACAAACAUGAGGAAUAUGUCGUGCCUCGGAGUUACUGUGAGGGAUUAUUUUGGUUUCUAUGUGAUAAUUGAAAUUUAAUAAAUAUGCAAAGUAAUAUAUAUGUAUUUUUUAUCUGUAAAAAAAUAAUCUAUAAUGUAAAAAUGUACCUUUAAUCAAUAUACUAAUUUCAUGUAAUUAUUUUAUUUAUACUAAUCAAAUUGACACAUCAAAAUGCUGAGAAGUUAUCUAAUCACCCAACUAAUAAAAAUCUUAUAAAUGCAAUAUUGUUCUCAUCAUCUCUCCACAUCAAUAUUUAGAUCGUUUUGUAAUCUCUUGCUAAAACUAAUCCAAUCGGUUCUCUAUCGAACCAUUAAGUUAUGAGUUUUCUCUUUACAAUUUUGUAUGAAUGACUAGAAUGAUUGUGAAAGAGGAGAGCAAUCUCGAGUUAUCUAAAUUUUGUUUUGUCACUUGUUCAUAACAAUAACAUUUUUGUGCUACGAAUGUCAAAAUUUCAGGAUUUGUUAAGUAUUAGAGAGGAUGAAUUUAAUAGUUUUUUUUGUUUUUGUGUUUUAUUUUUGGGUUUUUAAUAGAAUUUAAUAGUUCAUGUAUUGUUUAAUACAAUGUCAAAAUUGUGUAUAUAUUUAAGAAAGAUAUUAUUUAAUUAGUGUACAAAUAUAUAUUUGUAAACUUAUGGUCAAUGAUGUAAAAAUUUCAAUUAGUAAUUUUGAGGCUUGUUUUUUUUUUAGAUUCAAGCCACUUCUUUAGUGGGCUUAUCGAAGGCCCAAUACCAAAUUUACGUCUCCUCUCUCUCUCUCCGAUCUCAAUAGAUCGCUGGAGUUGAGAGAGCUUCGGGACUUCGCGUUCCUUGACGAAGAAGACGAUACUUCUUCUCCUUCCAUCACAGCUUCACGCAAAUCUUUCUGCAGUUACAUCUUCUUAAGAUUCUGAGUUCCGACUUAUUUCGUGGAAGGAUUUUGAUAUUUCAACAGUGAUUUUAAUUUUAUACUGGAACUUAAGCAUCACUUAAUCUUCCGGCUAAAAUGAUGUCGCCGAAGCAAAUCUCCGACGAUCGAGGAUCUUCACAUUUCAGGUACCUUCAUACCCAAUUUUUCCAUUAAAACCUCUCUGCUAUUGUGUGUGGUUUCUUCUUUUGCUAGUUUUGAUUUGCGUAGAAAUCAAAUGAGAAAAAUCAAAAAUCAAGAACGAAGUUUCUUCUUCUUGCUCCAAUGGAGUUUCAUUGAAAUUACAACAAAAUGUGUUCUGUUGCUUCAUUUUCCUGAAGAUAAUGCAGUAACAUAAUUAGGUAGAAUCACUGAUUUGAGUCAUAAUUAGGUUAAGAUUUUAGUUCAUUGGGUUUUGAUACAAUACUAUGUUGAAGCAGUGCUGUGAGUCCUGAAAAUUGUCAUUGGCUUAGAAUUGAGUAAUCUGCUACCUAAUUUUUUGUAUUGUUGACUCUCUUUAUUUGCAGGCAUACACCAUUCCAGAUAAUCCACCUUAUUGGGAACUUUUUUAGGAUAUGGUCAGUAUAUUCGAUGUACCGAUACUUGAAUCAGACGGGAGCGCCUGUUGUUCUCUUUCUCUUCUGCUGUCUGGUGCCUUCAUCAAUCAUCUUCUUGAUAAUUCAAAAGCCAUGGAAAGGAAGGGCUCUUUCUAAUCAACAGGUUUACUUUAGUCAUAUCUAAUUUCUUGCAUGUAUAUUUAUGUGGAUAGUUUGGACAUAAAUUAUAUCUUGACUGUUUCAGAUUGUACCUUCUCUUAUCAAUGGAGUCAUCACGGCUCUAUACUUCAUCUUAUGGGGAAAAGGUCUCAAGUCUUGUGGACCUCUUAGGUAUUUGAUUAGUUAUUAAGCAUUCAUACUACCGUAAAAUUCUCCUCUGGUCUUAUCUGUAUUAGGAGUUCCCGUAGAUAUUGGCUUUUGAAAGGUAGAGAAGUUGAAAGUUUACCUAUGAGCAAUUUGGUCCCAGUUUAGCAGUUUGGUUCAAUACUAGACUUACAAUCCUCUCCUUGUCCUUCAUUUCUGCAAUCUUCGUAUUUAAGCUACAGUUUCUGUCAUUUGGUCAAAAAAAAUAUCUUCAGUGAUAUUUGAUUAUCCUUGCUUAUGAUUCUUUGUAUAUUAUUUUCAGAGCUAUCUUGUCAGAGUAUUCUGGUGCUGUUCUUGGAGUACUUUCUGGAGUAUUAUAUGGACGGAGAGGCCAUGUGUGGAAAAAGGUAUUCAUCUUACAUAGCAUCUCAAGUCAAUGUAACCAGUUAACUAGCACGAUUUACAUAGUUUUACCCAUAGUGUUAUUUUGUUUAGUACCCUUGGCAUGCAUCAGCUCACUUGUCUCACUGACCAACUAUAGAGCUGUGCAAUAGUAUCUAGCAUUUAGUGAUGUUUCUUCUGGCUAGUCCAUAUACUUAUAUUGCUUGCAGUAUAAUUAUUGAUAUGAAUUUUAAUAUGGAAAUAUCAAAAUUUAUGUUUAUAUAUCAACAAGGAUACUUAUUCAAAGAGUAGGAAAAUAUUUCUCUCAUAUUUUGCAAAUCAUGAUAGGUAGGUGGCCUCAUUGCAAUGCUGGUAGCUCUUUUUUUCUUGUCUCAAGGAUGGGCGACAUCAUCUCUCUCCCCUUUUUAUAUCCUUUUUCGCAAGUUCCUUCUUCUUAUCUCGAUCUUGAUCUCUAUGUAUAUAUAUCUUGCUCGUUUUUAAUGGUGUGGAUAGUUUAACUUAACAACAAGCUACCAACAAAAGAUAGUACUGAAACCAAAGAGGAAGAAGUACAAACAGAACAAGCACUAGGUAUGAUGGGAAUGAUGAUACCAGUUUUUGCUGGAAUCUUAUCAGCAUUAAGGCGGGUUAUCGCACGCCGUGUUUCUCUAAAGGUAAUGCUCUCAGAUUCCUUCGAUUUCUCCAGUCAUUUCUUUUCUUAUUUCUGCUUCCUUUGUGAACAAUCAAUUUUCUUGUUUUGCAGAACCAGCAGAAGAAACGACUACAUGCGAUAACCAUUACUUCUGCAACCUGUUUCUUGUUCCCUGUGGCCAUGUGGGACCUUAUCAUAGUAAGUGUUGCUACUCUUUUGCAAUGAGAAGGAUUAAUGUAUCAAAGAUGGUGUUUUCUCAAUCACCCAAGGCCGGUUUGGUUCACUAUAAUAACAAAAUUUCACUUCAGGGGUCAUCUUCUGGGAAAACAUCCGAGUUACCAUUUUCUGCGUGGGCUUUCCUUAGCACCAUUAUUUUCGGGAUCAUCCUAAUAUUCUACGUUGAUAAUAUCGCAGAAGAGAGGUUUCGUAAAGCUUUACCCUUAAAUCAUCUUUACAUUGCAUUUUAACACACAAACAUAUGCUUUAAACGAAUAUGUUCUGUUUGUCGCAGAUUGCAUAUGGUGUUUUCUUCGCCGAGGCAUUUAAUGGUAGCAGGUGUAUGCAUAAUAGUCAUGGAGUUAGCUUAUGAGAUGGAUUUUUCUCUUCCCGGUUUCAUCGUUUGUUGCUUAGUAUUAGGGUUUGGAAUAUUCGAGGCAACAUCUCUAGAACGGAACAAGAAAGACUCUUCGUUGAAAUCAGAAGAUCCAUCAAACGGAAUCCUUGGUAAUAAUGACUUUGAUACUUCUCCAAUUCUUCCCAUAUAGCUCACCAAUCUUUCCCUACACUAACGACGAUGUACUGUUGAAUGUACUUGUCCUUGACGAUGUAAAUCUGUCUGGUUUUAUUCGUUUCUCAAUCUUUGUACCUUCAUUUUUCAGCUUUUUUUGUUUUCUUGGUGAAGCAUAUGCAAAUAUUUUGGUCUAACGUAGACAAAGAUGAUAACCCAUGAUGAUGAAUAUACUUACGGUUAUACGAAGAUAACUCUGUAGAAUGAUCGAAUUGAAAUUUCUUCGAUAUCAAAACAUGUCACGGUUUGACAAUAAUACGAAGAAAACCAAACCGAUCAGGACCAAGAGAAUUUAAACCAAACCAAAUUUCUUAUGGUUUGAGUUAGCAACGUGUAGUAACCAAACCAGUCAAGCGUGAAACGCUUCGUUUCCUUCUCUUUUGGUCUCUGUCAAUUUUGAUGUUUCGCCGAGAAAAAAAAAAAACAAUUAUUGAUGUUUCAGCUUCUUCUCCGAUGCAUUUGCUUGCCUUCGUUGAAGCUCUUUCACGUUGGUCGUAGUAGUGUUGUUGUAGUUAAGACUUAAGAAGAUGGAUCUCUCUUUGACAUCAAUGACUCUUGUCUUUCUACAUCCCGAAGAGGGUAAAUGCAUUGAAUUCUGGAGAACUUCGUCAACAGAGUAUUUGCUUUCCUAGGUGUUGAUUUAGAUUGCAUGAAUCGUUGGAUAUGAAAUAUUGAAAUGUAACGCGCAGCAGCGUUGGUGUUUCUUAAAACUCUAGUAGUUUACUCAGUUUGGUUUUCUAGUGUUAAGUUUCAGGUGCUACUUUCUGGUUGAUGAGGUAAAUGAUGAAAUCAAUUCUUUGAACUCUUUCUUGUGUUUGUAGGAGAUGGAUAUAUACACUAAAGAGAAUAAUUUAUAGACCUCAAAGUCUCUGGAAUGUUUAACGUUGUAGCAACAAGUUUCAUAGUUUUGAUAUUUAACAAGUGGACUAGUGCACACUAAUGAGUCUCAGUGUUUCUUCAGAAGCUAAAGUUUUAGUUACAUAUUUUGCUCUUCUUUGGUCAACUUUUGCUUUCCUUCUCUGAGUUCUCUUCUCUUUAAGCAAUACUUGUAAAUUUUUGCCUAAAUCUGUUUAAUCCCAAAUAUCAAGCCGUUCCGGUUUAUCGAAACUAAACCGGUGAUUUUAUAGAACAGGAAGAAACAAAACCCUAUACAGUAUUUUGUUUGCUUGCUGGUAGAGCCAUCGAAUUCAAGGGACUAAGUAAAUCCCAACUCUCUUUUUCACUGAAACCCCUAAAUAUUAGGUCUUGGAUAAAGCUUUUGUAACAAGGUAGGUUUCGAGGUUUUACUGAUUAUUUUUUUGGGGGUUCCUUAGUCCAUAAGAUUCCUAUUUGCGUUGUGAACUCCAAGUUUCCCUCUAUGCAAAGUUCAUAAGAUUCCUGUUUUACCAAUUUAACGUGUUUCAUUUGCACUUGCUUGGAUUUUACAUGAAUUGAAACUUUAAAACUAAUUGAAUUUUUGUCGCCCGCGGUUGUUGGCGGACCGGACCACCGCAGAGUGAACAGAAGCAAGGUCCGUCGCGAAGUGCCCGUUUGGUCGCGGGCUCGCCUGUCUGCCACCCCUAUUCAUCUCUAUUACUUUUAUAUUUAGACUUUACAGAAUCAAUUAUUUUGGAAUUUCUUUAUAUUUCCAUAUUUUUUCUUAUAAUUUUGUAGACUAUAAAUUAAUUAAUAUUAAUUACUACUAAUUCAAGUUUUCGAAAAAUAGACUACUUUUUUAUCAGAAUAAUCAGAAGAAAUUUAAAUUAAUAUUUUGAGAAGAUUUUGUUUCCAUAUAAAUGUAUAUAAUUAUAUUUAAAAUAAGUAAUUUAACAAAAACAUGUAGAGUAUAUGUAAGAAAUAACCAUUGACUUGAAAAGAAUACACAAAAUAACCUUGGACCAAAUAGUAUUUGUCGGCUACAGAAAUUUUGGUAAUAUUUAGUCUAUUUUAGCCUUUCUCUUUCUUAUUCCUUCUUUUGUUUUUUUUCCAUGUUCUUUACGAGACUUUAGUCAUAGAGUUCUCUUUCUCUCUUCAUUUUUAACACAAUUCAUCUUCUUCAGAUUCACCAUGUCAUUUUCUUUUUCUAUUUCUCUCUUCCUCUCCUAAAAUAAUCUUCACCACCUUUCAUAAAAUAUAUCAUCAUAUCUUUUUAUUUUGUUCACCCACAUGUUCUCUCUUUCUUUUUCCAUAGAAAUCUCUCUAUCUCUCAUUCUUUAUUUUAUUUUUUACCUGAAUUCUCCGUCAAUGUCGUUGUGAUAUAAGAGAUUAGAUUUGAUUUUAAAACAAAUGUCUGAUUUUAAAAUGCAUGUAUUUUAAGAACAAAACAUGUUAUUAACACUGAUAUAUUAAUAUUUGUCAUGCUAUCCCACAAAAACUCAUGAAAUAAAUAAAUAUUUGUCAUGUUAUCCAAUAAAAACCCAUGUAAUAUUGUAACAAUUCUAUAUGUUUUUUUAAACUUCGCGAUCGAUAAGAGAAUUGUAUGCUUUUUAUAAAUAUUUUGUGCUAUUUCAGAAAAACACAUUAUUUCAGAGAAACAUAUAUAUCGUUUUGUAUGUAUUUUAAAGAAUUGCAUGCUUUUUUGUAAAUAUAUCAUGUUAUUUUAGACAAAUAUAUAAAAACUUUAUAACUACAACCACCGAUAUUUUUGUAAAAACAAGAAAAUCUAAAGAUAUUUUAGUAUUUUAUCCACCAUAGAAAAUGUUAUUUACCUAAGUUUCCUGACACAAGGCUAUUGUCUCAAUUCUUUUCAAUUCCAUGGUUACUCUCUAAUAUUACCUUUAGAAUGGUUUUCCCUACCCUUAACCUUAAAACCUUUCUUUCAAGCCUAUGUACUAUUUGUGAGUGAGGCCUCUUGUAUGAAAAUGCUAUAGAUUUUGAAAUCUUCAAAGUAUUGAGAACGACAAGGUUUUAGCUCUUGUUUUUAGCUAGCUUUUGGAACAUCUUUGGACUAGCUACUAGGUUGGGAAUGAAAGAUUUAAGUGGUUAGAUUGAAUACUUGGGAUUGGGUUUGAAAAAAAAAAAAAAAAAAAAAAAAAAAACCUCUUUUUCUCUUAGUUUUUGUUGCUUUGCAUUCAUAUUUUGGCAUAUAGUAUUGCAUUUGCAUUUGCAUUUGUUUUUUUUAGGUACAUGAGUGGAGUUUAAAGUUUUGGAAGUAAAAUGGAGCAAAUGGAGCAAACAAAGGAGCUAAAAGAUUGCAAAGUGGCCAAAGAAGAGAAGCUAGUAGGAAUCUACCAAACUGGUCGAUUGCGUGGUCGAUUGGUCAGGACCAGAGCUACGGAGGAAUAUGAAUCUACCAAAGUGGUCGAUUUCGUGGUCUACUGGUCAAGGAUUAAUGUUGCGGACGAUAUUGAAUCUACCAAGUGAUCUAUUGCUUGGUCGAUUUCCUUCCUUAACCGGAUCAAAACCCGGUUUGUUCCGGGUUAAUCCGGUUUAUUUUCUCGUUACUAUAAAUACUCUUAACCUAGUUUUAGAGAGAGGGAGCUUUUGUUUAGGGAUAAAAACUUCUCUUGAAGGUUCUUUAUCUAAGGUUUUUGUAUGAAUGUUGAGUUCUUAAGUUUCUAUAUCAAGUAUUUCUUUUAAAUUUCUCAUCUAUUCUCUAAUGAUUAUGGCUUUACAAAGAUCAAACCAAUUCCUUUGUAUGAUCAUGAUCAUGAGUGAGUAGUCUCCUAGAGUUCUUUGGUUAGGGUAGAUUAGGAUGGUUUAGAUGUUGGGUUAUGGAGUUUAGGGCUAGAUUACUUAAGAUUCUUACUUAUUGGUUGCUUUUAAGGCUAGAUCAACCUUGAUCAUGAUGAUUUAGACAUUAGGAAUUUCAUGCCCGGAAGGUGUUCGAUGAAAUUCCCAAACCAAAAUCUUUAAGUGCUUUUCAUACCUUACCUUUGGAAAUUGUUGAUUAGGGUGAUUAGUGGCUAGAUAGACUUGUUAUUUAUGCUUAUUGAUCAUUUGAUUGCCUUUGGAAAUUGUUGAUGAUUGAUUGAUUAGUAAAGGGAUUAAUAUCAUGGAAAUGUAUUAGUCUUGUUUAGUGUUCUAUGGCCUAAGGAUCAUUGCUUGUUAGAAGUUGUUUGUUGCUCCAUAAUCCAUCUCUUUAUCAUUUCUAAUCGAUUACCUUAACCCGAGAAUUCGUCUUUAGUUUUCGCUUAGUAAUUUGUUAAUUUCCCGCUUUGUUUACUUUCGAAACUUGUUGGUCUUUUGUUUCUUGCUUUCUCUUAUCUUGUUUUGCAUUGUUUGUUUAAUAAUGCAUUGUUACUAAGAUUUAGAAUACUCAAAAUCAUCUUGUUAGCUUAGAUUAAGCAAGUGUGUGUAUUCUUGGUGAGUUGAUUAAAUUGCAAAUUGUGGUUCGAUAAUUAAUUGAAAGAAAUGCUACAUCAAUUUGGCGCCGUUGCCGGUUUGCAAUAGUUAUUAGCCAUUAGGAUUUCAUAUUUGUUUGAGACUAAGCCUUUUACUUUAGUUACUAAUCCUUUAUACUUGAUCUUUGCUCUUGUUUUAAAGGUGUAUGAACCUACGAAGUCACGGUCGAGCAAACUUAGUAGAAGAGAUUAGUGACAUCCGCCGGUUUGAAAGAGAAAACGCUAGAGCAAGAAGAGAACGAGAACGACUUGAACACCUUGCUCGGUUAGGCGUCAUGAAUGAACCCGGAAUUGAGGGCCAUAAUGGAAAUGGCCAAGCUAAUGGGGAUGGUCAUAUGCCACAACAUCAACCAAGAGCUCAUCAACCAAUUGGAGCCUUUGAUGAGCCAAACAUCCGUGGAAAUAGAAACGGUAUUCAAGCUCCUCCGGUUGAGAACAACAACUUUGAGAUUAAAUCAAGCCUCAUCAACAUGGUUCAAAGCUCUAAGUUUCAUGGUUUAUCAAUGGAGGACCCUUUGGAUCAUCUAGACCAAUUUGAUAUGUUGUGUAGCACGGUGAAAAUCAAUGGGAUCUCGGAAGAUGCAUUCAAACUUAGACUCUUCCCGUUUUCUCUUGGAGAUCGAGCUCGUAUUUGGGAGAAGAAUCUACCUCAAGGCUCCAUCACCUCUUGGGACCAAUGCAAAAGAGCCUUCCUCUCAAAGUUCUUCUCCACAACAAGAACGGCAAGGUUGAGAAAUGAGAUAUCUAGCUUCACUCAAAGGAGUAAUGAAAGUUUUUGUGAAGCUUGGGAAAGGUUCAAGGGAUACAAAAUGCAAUGCCCUCAUCAUGGUUUCUCUAAAGAAUCUAUACUAAGUACCUUGUAUAAAGGAGUUCUCCCUAAAUUUCGCAUGUUGUUGGACACGGCAAGCAAUGGAAACUUCUUGGGCUAAGAUAUUGAUGAUGAUUUGUCUUUGGUAGAGAAUCUAGCUCAAAGUGAUGGUAACUAUGGUGAAGAUUAUGACCGCACUCCAAGAGAAAGUAAUGAGAUGAGCGAUCUACACCGCAAAGAGAUCAAAGCAUUGAAUGAAAAGAUGGAUAAGAUGAUUCUUGCUAAUCAAAAACCGAUCCAUUUUGUAUCCGAGAGUGAUGUCUACCAAGGUUAUCAAGAGAAUAUGGAAGGUUGUGUAGAGGGACAAGAAGAGGUCAACUAUGUUAGUGGACAAGGCUACAACAAAUUCAACCCUAACUAUAGGAAUCACCCCAACCUUUCAUAUAGGAGCAAUAAUGUGGAGAACCCACAAGAUCAAAGCUACCCACCUUUAAAGCCUCCCGGUUUCACACAACAACCUAACUAUCAACCUAAACCCCAAGGGAACUUCCAACCAAAGCCUCAAGCCUACCACCACAACCAACACCAAGGGAGUUCAUCAAAUCCUCCACCUCAAGCGAAUGAUACAAACGCUCUUCUUAAACAAAUUUUAGAAGGGCAAGGAAGAGGAGCAAUCGAUCUCGCCACACAAAUGAAAGGAAUGCACACCAAAGUCGAUGACCUUUAUGGUGAGCUCAAUGCCAAAAUAGAGCGUUUGAAUGCCCAUGUUUAUAGCCAAUCCUCAUCCACUUCCAAGCGGCCAAUGGGAACUUUACCGGGUAAACCGGAACCAAAUCCGAAAGAGUAUAUAAAUGCUAUAACCCUUAGAAGUGGUAAAGAGUUGCCGAGUGGAGAGCUCAAUAGAGACAUUGAGCCUAAACAAAAGGAGGGUGUGAUUGAGAUUGAUGAAGAGGAGGUAUUGAAUGAGAAAGUUUGUCAAGAUGAGAUUGAUGUUGAAAAAUGUAUUGUUGACAAAGGGAAGGGUAAAAUAGUUGAAGAGUCUAAAGAAGACAAAACCCAAGAAGAAAUCUCCAAGAAGGAUAAAAGUUUUGCUAAGAAAGAGACUCUAUUUGUACCUCCACCUUAUGAACCAAAGUUACCAUUCCCGGGUCGUUUCAAGAAGCAACAACUAGAGAAGUAUAGAGCAAUGUUUGAUGAGCAAAUGAAAGAAGUUACUAUCACCAUGCCUAUCAUAGAUGCGUUCUUGUUAAACCCGACUUACAACAAGUUUCUUAAAGAUGCGGUUGUAGAAAAGAAGAAAACAUUACAAGGUAUGGUCCUUUUGACUCAUGAAUGUAGCGCUAUCUUCCAAAACAAGAUUGUAGCAAAGAAGCUUGAUGAUCCGGGUAGCUUUACACUUCCAUGUGCUCUUGGUCCUUUAUCCUUUGACCAUUGCUUGUGUGAUCUUGGUGCUAGUGUUAGCUUGAUGCCUCUUUCGGUUGCCAAACGCUUAGGUUUCACAAGAUUUAAGGAUUGUAGAAUUUCACUUGUCCUUGCGGACCGUUCUAUUAGAACCCCGGUUGGUUUGCUUGAGGAUCUUCCGGUCAUGAUUGGUCAUUUUGAGAUACCAACGGACUUUGUGGUCCUUGAGAUGGAUGAGGAACCGAAAGACCCACUUAUCUUAGGACGCCCAUUUUUGAGAACCGCGGGAGCAAUGAUUGAUGUGCGAAGAGGAAUGAUUAAAUUGAACUUGGGUAAGGAGGUAUUAACCUUUGAUAUAAAAAAAACGAUGAAGAAACCUACCAUUGAAAACCAAGAAUUUUAUAUCGAAGAGAUAGAAGCUUUAGCGGAUGAGCUUUUGGAAGAGCUAGCAAUGGAGGAUCCACUUCAUAGUACUUUGACUAUAAAACAAGGAGAGUUUGGAUUACUUGAAAGUGAUAGUGAGGGGUAUGAGAAGAUACUUGAUUCUCACAAGCCUUCUAAUGAAGAUGGAACCUUCCUUGAGUUGAAAGAAGUUAGUCAUGAGGUUAAUGUUGUUGAGAUUGAAGAGGUGACAAACAAGGAGGGAGCUAGCAAUGGUAAGUCUAGCAUAGAUGGAGAUUGGAGUGAACUCAAGGCUCCAAAGGUGGAACUAAAACCUCUUCCCAAGGGGCUAAGGUACGCAUUUCUUGGAACAAACUCUACUUAUCCGGUUAUAAUUAAUGACGAACUUAGUGAUUUAGAGGUCUCCACCCUAAUAGAGGAAUUGAAAAAGUAUAGAAAAGCUAUUGGUUAUUCUCUUAGUGAUAUUAAAGGAAUUUCGGAAACUCUUUGUGUGCAUAGGAUUCAUCUUGAGAAUGAGUCAAUGACUUCCGUCGAACAUCAAAGGCGGUUAAAUCCUAACCUUAGAAAUGUAGUACGGGAAGAGAUCCUCAAACUCUUGGAUGCGGGAAUAAUUUACCCGAUCUCGGAUAGCACAUGGGUUUCUCCGGUUCAUGUGGUCCCAAAGAAGGGUGGAGUCACGGUUGUAAAGAAUGAUAAUGAUGAGUUGAUCCCAACUAGAACAAUAACGGGGCAUAGGAUGUGUAUAGAUUAUCGAAAAUUGAAUGCCGCUUCUAGGAAAGAUCAUUUUCCUUUACCGUUUAUUGAUCAAAUGCUAGAGAGGUUAGCCAAUCACACCCACUAUUGUUUUCUAGAUGGAUAUUCGGGAUUCUUUCAAAUUCCGAUUCAUCCAAAUGACCAAGAGAAAACAACUUUCACAUGCCCUUAUGGUACAUUUGCAUAUAGGAGAAUGCCAUUUGGUUUGUGUAAUGCUCCCGCUACAUUUCAAAGAUGCAUGAUGUCUAUAUUCUCGGAUCUAAUUGAAAAUGUGGUUGAAGUUUUUAUGGAUGACUUCUCCGUCUAUGGAGACUCUUUUGCCUCUUGUCUUUCUAAUUUGUGUAGGGUCUUGAAACGUUGUGAGGAGACUAACCUUGUGUUAAAUUGGGAGAAGUGCCACUGCAUGGUUAGAGAUGGGAUAGUAUUGGGUCACAAGAUCUCCGAGAAGGGUAUAGAGGUUGAUAGAGCUAAGAUUGAUGUGAUGACCAAUCUAGCACCGCCAAAUUCGGUUAAGGGAAUAAGAAGUUUUUUGGGCCAUGCCGGGUUUUAUCGAAGGUUCAUCAAGGACUUCUCCAAAAUAGCAAGACCACUUACAAGACUAUUGUGUAAAGAAGUUGCUUUUGUGUUUGAUGAGGAAUGUCUAGAUGCUUUCAAAAAGAUAAAGAAAGCUUUGGUUAGUGCCCCAAUAGUGCAAGCACCGGAUUGGAAUCUACCAUUUGAGAUCAUGUGCGAUGCUAGUGACUAUGCGGUUGGAGCGGUUCUUGGUCAAAGAAAAGAUAAGAAGCUUCAUGUCAUCUACUAUGCAAGUAGGACUCUUGAUGAUGCACAAGUUAAGUAUGCCACCACCGAAAAAGAGCUCCUUGCUAUAGUGUUUGCAUUUGAGAAGUUUCGAUCAUACUUGGUUGGUUCUAAGGUGAUAGUUCAUACGGAUCAUGCGGCAUUAAGACAUCUAUUAGCCAAGAAGGAUGCGAAACCAAGGCUUUUGAGAUGGGUUUUGCUUCUACAAGAAUUUGACUUGGAAAUUAAAGACAAGAAAGGGAUUGAGAAUGGUGUUGCGGAUCAUCUCUCUCGGUUGAGGAUUGAUAAUGAUAUACCAAUCGAUGACUCUCUUCCCGAGGAGCAACUAUUGGCAAUUAGGCUUUAGGAUGCAAGUCAUGAGACCUAUAAAAAACUUGAGGAGGUGAAGACAUUGAAUGAAAAUGGCCCAUGGUAUGCGGAUUAUGUUAACUAUUUGGCAUGUGGAAAAGAACCUCCAAAUUUGAGUAGCUAUGAAAAGAAGAAGUUCUUGAAAGAUAUAAACCACUUCUAUUGGGAUGAACCAUUUCUUUAUACUCUAUGUAAAGAUAAGAUCUAUAGAAGAUGUGUCUCGAAAGAAGAAGUAGAAGAAAUUUUGCUCCAUUGCCACGGUUCAAGCUAUGGAGGUCAUUUUGCAACUUUCAAGACGGUUACCAAGGUUCUACAAGCGGGUUUAUGGUGGCCAACGAUGUUUAAAGACGCACAAGAGUUCAUUUCGAAGUGCGAUUCAUGUCAAAGAAAAGGAAACAUUAGUAGACGAAAUGAGAUGCCCCAAAAUCCAAUUUUAGAGGUUGAGAUCUUUGAUGUAUGGGGAAUAGAUUUUAUGGGACCAUUUCCUUCUUCAUAUGGAAAUAGCUACAUACUUGUGGCGGUUGAUUAUGUGUCAAAAUGGGUUGAGGCGAUUGCUAGUCCAACUAACGAUGCAAAAGUUGUGUUGAAGCUAUUCAACACUAUAAUAUUUCCAAGAUUUGGUGUUCCUAGAGUGGUCAUAAGUGAUGGAGGGAAGCAUUUCAUCAACAAGGUCUUUGAGAGUCUACUCAAGAAGCACGGAGUGAAGCACAAGGUCGCCACGCCUUAUCAUCCGCAAACAAGUGGUCAAGUUGAGAUUUCUAACCGGGAAAUCAAAGCUAUUCUAGAGAAGACGGUUGGGACUACAAGAAAAGAUUGGUCGGUAAAACUUGAUGAUGCAUUGUGGGCAUAUAGAACCGCCUUUAAGACUCCGAUAGGUACUACUCCGUUCAAUCUUCUCUAUGGAAAAUCAUGCCAUUUGCCGGUUGAGCUCGAAUAUAAGGCUUUGUGGGCAGUAAAGCUUUUGAAUUUUGAUAUCAAAACCGCCGAGGAGAAGCGGUUGAUUCAAUUGAAUGACCUUGAUGAAAUCCGCCUUGAAGCUUAUGAGAACGCCAAAAUUUACAAAGAGAGGACUAAGGCAUUUCACGACAAGAAGAUCGUUCCAAGAGACUUUAAAGUAGGUGAUCAAGUGUUGUUGUUCAAUUCUCGUUUGAGAUUAUUUCCGGGAAAGCUCAAAUCUCGUUGGUCGGGUCCAUUCAAGAUCAAAGAAGUGAGACCCUAUGGAGCCUUGGUAUUGUGGAACAAAACGGGAGGAGAAUUUGUUGUGAAUGCUCAACGCUUGAAGCCUUACUUCGCGAAUCAACACAUUGGGGAGGGAACCAAAGUUUCUCUCUUGGAGCCUCAAUCCGCCUAAUUUGUGUGGAAACGUCAAGCUUAGUGACUUUAAACAAGCGCACUUGGGAGGCAAUCCCAUGGUAUCCUUGUACAUAUUUUGAUUCUAUUUAUGUGCUUUUGGUUUGAUUAAGUUUCAGGGAAGUAUUUGGAAAAUUUCAUAUCAAGACGGGCAAGCAAAACCAUUUCUGGGCAAGCGAAUCGACCGCAUGGUCGAUUGGACGGUCGACUCAUCCAUGUCCGCAAAUCCGUCAGAUUUCUAAUCGAGCACUCAAUAGAGCAGUCAAUAGACGAGUUGGUCGAUUGGACGGUCUACUGAUUCAUGUCCGCAAAUCCGUAAAUUUUCGAAUCGACCAAUCAAUUGAUCGAUUGGUUUUGAAAGCCCAGGUAAGUCAUCUCUUGACUUCGUCGGUUCACUAGAAAUUUUCCGGUUUAGUCCCUUAACCAACCAAAACCGAAAAAAAAAAUAAUAAUAAUAAUAAUAAUAAUUCCUUCUUUUUCCUUCUCUCACGACCUCUUCCUCUCACUUUUCUCUCUUUUUUCAAACUCACUCUCUCUUUUGUUUUCAAACACACUUGCUUGUUUUUAGUGAUUCAAAUCUCUUGUUCACUUUUUUUUCUCCAUAGAACCCGAAUUUAGCAUCUCCACUCUCAGAUUGACAAGGCACAAUGGUAGAAGGCACAAAGAGAACAAACCCCAAACGUUCUAAGACAAUGACCUCCACUGAACCGCAAAGUGAACCCGUUGCUCAUUGGACUAAGGAAGAUAAGAAAGCUCUCAAAGUCAUCUCUCCACUUCCUUCAUUUCCAACGCGUUUUGCAAAUCGCGAGAUCCUAGAGAAGAUGGGUUUGCUCGAGACUAUUGACGAGUUCUUCACAAAGAUGGGACUUGGCGCCUUCACCUCCAUGGAUCACCCUACAUUCAGUGAGCCUACAGUUGAUUUCUUUAGCACCAUGGAGUACACAUUUACGAACCCAAAGAUACCACUAGCUAAAGAAGGAAUCAUCAACUUCAAGGUCAAAACAAAGGCUUUCUCCAUAUCAAUUCCCGACCUUUGUGAAGCCUAUGGAUUUGAGAACAAAAGCGAGAUGAGCUUCCCGAAGUUUAAAGGAAUCCACUUCUUUUGGGGCGAGCUAGCAAGCGGGAAAUUCAGUUGUAACGCAAGUAUCAAGAGCGUCCGCCAUCCGGUAAUUCGUUACGCCUUGAAGCUUCUCGCGCAUGCUCUUUUUGGGAGAGGUGAAACGAGUUCUACUACGGUUUCCGAGAUGUGCUUUCUUUUUCAAGGAGUCAAAGAAUUGUUGGUAGAAGACGCGGACGAGAAUGGCGAUGGAAGGUUGGUACAUGAUGAUCUUGGAAAUGAUGUGAACUAUGGGUGCAUCUUUGCUUCUUAUCUAGAGGAUUAUAAGAACCGGCUAAUCAAGGGCAAGACGAAAUCCAUCUACAUUGGUGGUACUCUCACACCACUUUUUGUUAAAGCGGGAGUAGAUCUUUCUCCAUUCAAUGCUCUCCCAAAGCGUGAAUACAUUGACUAUGAGAACUUGGUGCGUUCUUGCUCUUUAAAACGUAGCGAUGAUGCUUUCAUCUACUUGUACACGGAUCGAGAGGAUAACAAGUUGGAAUGCAUACUACCCUCAAAGGAGAUCACAAAUGUAGAGAGUCAUGAAGACAUUAUGUUUUUGCCAAGUAAGGAAUAUCAAGUACCAAAUUUGGAGCAAUUUAUGGAGAUUGAAGAAGAAGACUUGCCACCAUCUCCACGAGAUGACCCUUACAACCUCAACAAGUGUGAUCUUCCCGAAUUCACAUUUGUGCCAAAGACCAAGAUGGAGAAGUUUCUUCAAUCCGUCAUCAAGUCUCAAAGGAAGAUAAACAAGUGGAAAUCUUAUGCAAUAGGAAAGCUACUUAAGAAGGUGAAGAAGCUCCAACCACCGGAUUAUGUCUCUUCCGAGGAUGAACUUGUUUUUCCUUCAAAUGAGGAGGAAGAUAGAGACAAUAUUUUGGAGAGUGAUGAGAAUAAUGAAACGCCCGCCACUUCAUCACACUCGUCUAGGAGGAAGAACGCCUCGAGAGACCACUCCUACAUGCCUUAGCCACUCCACGGUAUCACUUGUAUAUACGACUUUAUUUCUUUUAGUUCUAUUUAUUUAUUUUCGUUAGUCUUUUCCUCAUAUUUUUCUCUCACACCGAGACGGUGUGAAAUAAGUUUGGGGGAGAGACUAACCAUCUAACGUUGUGUUUUGUUUUGAUUUUAUUUCUUUGAGUCUUGCAUUGUCAAUAUCUAUGUUUUGAGAAAAAAUAAAAAAAAAAUCUGAAAAUUUUGAAAAAUCCAAAAAAAUCAUGUAGGUUUGCAUAUUAAUUUUCUCUUUUAGAAUUGAGUCUAGAAGCAUCUAGUGUGCAUUUGCAUUUGCAUAGGGGAUAAUGAUUUAAUUACCUUGUAGAAAUUCAAGCUUAGGAUUGAACUUAAAGCCCUUGAUCACAGUUAAUCGUUGCUUGAUCAUCUUGGAAAAAAUGGAAAAUCCAUGCUUAGACUUUUGCGUUUCUCGAAAGCAAUUUCUACUUGUGUGAAGCUUACAUGACUUUUGAAAUAUCUCUAUGAAUUUGGACUUAAUUUGAUAUUGAUUUCUCGCUUAUGGAUCCUAAAUGCAUUCUCAUGGUAGUCUAAAAGACUCAUUCGGGUUAUCUUAUUCGUUUUGCCAAUCUUUUGUUAACCCGAAUGGCCAUUCUCACCUUUAGAAUGGUUUUCCCUACCCUUAACCUUAAAACCUUUCUUUCAAGCCUAUGUACUAUUUGUGAGUGAGGCCUCUUGUAUGAAAAUGCUAUAGAUUUUGAAAUCUUCAAAGUAUUGAGAACGACAAGGUUUUAGCUCUUGUUUUUAGCUAGCUUUUGGAACAUCUUUGGACUAGCUACUAGGUUGGGAAUGAAAGAUUUAAGUGGUUAGAUUGAAUACUUGGGAUUGGGUUUGAAAAAAAAAAAAAAAAAAAAAAAAAAAAAACCUCUUUUUCUCUUAGUUUUUGUUGCUUUGCAUUCAUAUUUUGGCAUAUAGUAUUGCAUUUGCAUUUGCAUUUGUUUUUUUUAGGUACAUGAGUGGAGUUUAAAGUUUUGGAAGUAAAAUGGAGCAAAUGGAGCAAACAAAGGAGCUAAAAGAUUGCAAAGUGGCCAAAGAAGAGAAGCUAGUAGGAAUCUACCAAACUGGUCGAUUGCGUGGUCGAUUGGUCAGGACCAGAGCUACGGAGGAAUAUGAAUCUACCAAAGUGGUCGAUUUCGUGGUCUACUGGUCAAGGAUUAAUGUUGCGGACGAUAUUGAAUCUACCAAGUGAUCUAUUGCUUGGUCGAUUUCCUUCCUUAACCGGAUCAAAACCCGGUUUGUUCCGGGUUGAUCCGGUUUAUUUUCUCAUUACUAUAAAUACUCUUAACCUAGUUUUAGAGAGAGGGAGCUUUUGUUUAGGGAUAAAAACUUCUCUUGAAGGUUCUUUAUCUAAGGUUUUUGUAUGAAUGUUGAGUUCUUAAGUUUCUAUAUCAAGUAUUUCUUUUAAAUUUCUCAUCUAUUCUCUAAUGAUUAUGGCUUUACAAAGAUCAAACCAAUUCCUUUGUAUGAUCAUGAUCAUGAGUGAGUAGUCUCCUAGAGUUCUUUGGUUAGGGUAGAUUAGGAUGGUUUAGAUGUUGGGUUAUGGAGUUUAGGGCUAGAUUACUUAAGAUUCUUACUUAUUGGUUGCUUUUAAGGCUAGAUCAACCUUGAUCAUGAUGAUUUAGACAUUAGGAAUUUCAUGCCCGGAAGGUGUUCGAUGAAAUUCCCAAACCAAAAUCUUUAAGUGCUUUUCAUACCUUACCUUUGGAAAUUGUUGAUUAGGGUGAUUAGUGGCUAGAUAGACUUGUUAUUUAUGCUUAUUGAUCAUUUGAUUGCCUUUGGAAAUUGUUGAUGAUUGAUUGAUUAGUAAAGGGAUUAAUAUCAUGGAAAUGUAUUAGUCUUGUUUAGUGUUCUAUGGCCUAAGGAUCAUUGCUUGUUAGAAGUUGUUUGUUGCUCCAUAAUCCAUCUCUUUAUCAUUUCUAAUCGAUUACCUUAACCCGAGAAUUCGUCUUUAGUUUUCGCUUAGUAAUUUGUUAAUUUCCCGCUUUGUUUACUUUCGAAACUUGUUGGUCUUUUGUUUCUUGCUUUCUCUUAUCUUGUUUUGCAUUGUUUGUUUGAUAAUGCAUUGUUACUAAGAUUUAGAAUACUCAAAAUCAUCUUGUUAGCUUAGAUUAAGCAAGUGUGUGUAUUCUUGGUGAGUUGAUUAAAUUGCAAAUUGUGGUUCGAUAAUUAAUUGAAAGAAAUGCUACAUCAGUAGGUUUCGAAGUUAACUCAUCCUGUAUUUGGGGUUUCUUAGUUUACACGUUUCCUUUGGGGCAGAUCCCUAUUUGCUCUGGUUUAUCGAAAUUAAACCGGUGAUUUUUAAGAACUGGAUGAAAUAAAACAUGAAAACUUAAAAAUUGAAUUUUUCGAUUCCUUUGCAUGUCUUGUCGAAACCUGAAAGCUUGAGUAUUUUCUUUAUAUUUUUCGUUUGAGAGCCAAAAACACAAGCAAUUAAGCAAAUCCCAACUCUCUUUUUCAUUGAAAUCCCGAAACAAUUAGGUCGUGGAUUAAGCUUUUGUAACAAGGUAGGUUUGGAGGUUUACUCAUUAUAUUUUUUUAGGGUUCCAUAAGAUUCCUAUUUGCGUUGUGAGCUCUAAUUUUCCCUGUAUUGAAGUUAGAAGUUCCUGUUCUCAGUUUACCAGUUUAUACUCUCUUUGUUUCGUGCAGAGCAGAUGGAUCACUUAAGCAAUUUACCAGACGAGCUUCUUUGCCAUAUUAUGUCCUUCCUUACCACCAAGGAGGCUGCUUUGAUAUCGGUUCUCUCCAAAAGGUGGCGCAAUUUGAUUGCAUUUGUCCCUAAUCUUGAUAUUUUUGACUGUGAUAUUCUGCAUUGGGAGGUGCGUAAAGAGGAAAGGGACGAUAUUCGACAGCUCUUCAUGGAUUUUGUGGAUAGAGUUUUGGCAUUGCAAGGUAACUCUCCCUUAAAGAAAUUCUCCCUCUGUUGUGGCGGCGGUUCUUAUUCGGAUAGAGUGGAUUGUUGGAUACAGAAUGUGAUGGUGCGUGGUGUUUCGGAGCUUGAUCUAUCAAUGAUUUUUGAUACCUCUUAUCAUAUGUAUCCACAAGUUUUCGAGAACAAGAAACUAGUUAAGCUCCAUUAUCUGGAUUUGAUAUUCGUUGCUUGGAUGGGAGCAUUUUCUUACCAAUGCUUAAAACUCUCCUUCUUGAAUCAGUUUUGUUAUCUGUUGAGAAUUUUGAGAUUUUUCUUCGUGCUUUGCCUGCGCUUGAGGAAUUAGUCAUGAAUCAUAUAUACUGGAAAGAAUUGGAUGUGAAUGUGCAUGUAUCUGUAUCAAGUGCAAGCCUCAAGACCCUAACAAUAAAAUGCAUCGUUUGUUUACAUACUAAGUCAUUUGAUACACCUAGUCUUGCUUACUUAUCUUACUCUGAUUAUGCCAUGGGAGAUUAUCCCGUAGCUAAAAUGGAAAACUUGUUUGAGGCUCGAAUCAGCCUUUUUGUACCUGAAGACGAUAUCAGCCGAGUAAGAGCGCCAAACAAUGAUUUGUUAGAGGAUGAUGAGUACAAUCAUGCAUGUUCUCCGAUAUGAAAAUGUGGGGAAGCUUAUGAAUAGCAUUCGAAAUGUUCGGUAUCUCUAUUUCUCUCGUGAUACUCUUGAGGUUAGUGUUUUUGUUCUUUUCUCUAUUAGCUGGUCUUGGUAAAAUAAAUGAAAGAUAACCAGCACUUCGUCUCAAUUUAUGGAGCAUGGCAGUCAUGUUUGUUCAAGUCCUAUUUUUAACAAAUAAGCAAAAGUCUAAUUAUGGUUUGUCUUGUUAUCAGGUGCUUUCUCUAUGCUGUGAAUCGAUGCCAGUGUUCAAAAACCUCAAAUCUUUAUCUAUCAAGAGUGUUGAGAGUCGAGGAUGGCAAGCAAUGCCAGUUCUUCUAAGGAACUGUCCACAUUUAGAAACUCUAGUCCUUGAGGUAUAGAAAUAACUAAUUUACCAAACAUGUACAAAGAUAGAGUUCACACAUUGAAACCUUAAAUGUCUCCUUUAUGCCUUCAGGCUCUCUUGCACCAUGUAACUGAUAAAUGCGGGGAUGCUUGUGCCUGCGUCUCUCGGGAGGAGAAAGGUCGUUCGCUCAAAUCUUGUCCAGUAAAAGUGUUAGAGAUUAAAGAGUUUCAAGGAACAAUGAAAGAGAUGCACAUGAUAAAACAUUUCCUGGACUAUCUUCCGUGUUUGAAGGAGAUGAAAAUCUCCUAUAUGAAAAAGAAUGAUCAUACUACACAGUUCAGAGUCAUCCCUCAAGUUAUUGCAGAGAUGGUGGAACACUACAACAAGUUAUCUAAUUGCAAUGUCCAGCUUGUAGUGAGUGGUUAAUUUUAUAAAAAGUUGACAGCACAUUGAUUCAGCCAUUUAUGAUCUCGCUUGUGGUAUAAUCUUUCACUUCCCUAGCAUUUUGCUUUGAGUUCUCUUUACGUUUUAGAUUUUGUGGACGAAUCGUUAAGAGUGAAUUAUUUUAGAGCAGAACACCGAUGUUUAAUAUUUUUUUCCUUGGACAUAGUGCUCAAUUGUUUUGUUUUAUCGCAAAAUCACGGAUGCAAUACAUACAUGUUUGACACUAAGCGAUGUGAUAUACUUCUAAGAACUCAAAACUCAAGCAUUCCCGGUUUACCAAAAUUAAACCUGUAAAAGAACCGGAUAAAAUUGAACCAGACUCCAAUUUUGUUCAACUCUUAAAAUUGGAUGCCUUUUCGUUGUCGAACUCGAACCUGAAAGCUUGGGUCUCUCUUUUCACUGAAAUCCUAAUGAUCCUGCAAAGCUCAGUGUCACUGAUGUUUCUGAAGUUAUCACGGGGGUCGGGGGACAUGAUGGAACACUACGAAAAGUCAUCGACUUGCCAUGUCCAGCUCCUAGUGGAUGCUUACUUGUAUAAGAAGUGGACUGCACAAUGAAGUCUCUAAAGAGCAAAAGUCGCUCUCCUUGAAACUUGACUCAGUUUGGUUUUCUAGUGGUGAGUUUCAGAUGCUAUUUUUUGGUUUCCCUGCCCUUCCGGAAUUAGACAUAGCAGAGGUAUACUUCCGUCUAAAAUGAAGAAAGCAUUUCUCUGGACCUUUUCUUGUGUUUGUAGGAGAGCAGGGAUAUACAUAUAUAUACCAAAGAGAAUGAUUUUAUAGACUUCAAAGUCUCUGGAAUGUUUAAACUCGUCGCAACAAGUUUCAUAGUUUUGAUAUUUAAAAAGUGUAUGGAUUAGUGCACACUGAUGAGUCUCUCAUAGUCUAUUCUUUGGUUAACUUUGCUUUCGUUCUCUGAGUUUCUUUUUUACUUUAAGCAAUACUUCUACAUUUGGGCCUAAAUCUGUUUAAGCAAUGUAGCCCAAAGAUCAACCCGUUCCGGUUUAUCGAAACUACACCGGCGAUUUUAAAGAACAAAACCCUCAAUUUCCAUAUAUUUAUUUAAUUGGUUUUUACCUCUCUUUUUUGGCAAGUUUCUAUUACUUUUGGUAAUCAAAAUGUAAAUCCAAAACUAUCUUCAUUUAUAUAAUAGUAACAUUUUAUCAAAAAAAAAAAAAAAACUCACGUCUUCCUCUUAAAAAUUGGAUGCUUCUCUGAUGCCUUUGCAUGUCUAUGUCGAACCUGAAAGCUUGGGUAUUUGCUUCAUAUCUCCUCCUUUUUAAAGAACCGGAUGAAAUAAAACCCUAAAUUAAGAAAAUCCCAACUCUCUUUUUCACUAAAAUCCCUACAAAAUAGGUCUUGGAUAAAACUUUUGUAGCAAGGUAGGUUUCGAGGUUUACUCAUUAAUUAUGUUUUGGGGGUUCUUAGUCCAUAAGAUUUGUAUUUGUGUUGUUAGCUCUAACUUUCCCUCUAUGAAAGUUCAUGUUCGAAUCCAUAAGAUUCCUACUUUACCAGUUUAACGUGUUUCUUUGCACUUGCUUGGAUUUUACAUGAAUAACCUUUCUUGUUUGGUAAGAUUCCUCUUCGUUUCGUGCAGAGAAAAUGGAUCUAUUAAGCAAUCUACCAUACGAGCUUCUUUGCCAUAUAUUGUCCUUCCUUACAACAAAAGAGGCUGCUUUGACAUCGGUUCUGUCAAAGAGGUGGCGCAAUCUAAUUGCAUUUGUCCCUAAUGUUGAUAUUGUGGACCAUGAUAUUCGAGAGCUUUUCAUGGAUUUUGUUGAUAGAGUAUUGGCAUUGCAGGGUAACUCUCCCAUUAACAAAUUUUCCCUCGAUUGUUCCGGUGUUGAUUCGGAUAGAGUGGAUUGUUGGAUACAGAAUGUGAUGGUGCGUGGUGUUUCCGAGCUUAAUUUAUCAAUCUUUGUGGAUUCGGUUUUCGAAGAUGACUAUAAUCUCUUUCCAAAAGUGUUUGAGAACAAAAAACUAGUUAAGCUCGGAUUAAGUUAUAUUUCUUGGUUGGAUGGGAGCAUUUUCUUACCAAUGCUUAAAACACUCGUUCUUGAAUCAGUUUUGUUAUCUGUUGAGAAGUUUGAGAUUCUUCUUCAUGCUUUGCCUGCGCUUGAGGAAUUAGUCAUGAAUAAUAUAUACUGGAAAGAGCGGGAUGUUGUCGAUUUGAUUGUUUCAAGUGAAAGCCUCAAGACCCUAACAAUAAACUUCAUCGUUUGUACACAUACUUUGUCAUUUGAUACACCUAUUCUUGCUUACCUAUCUUACUCUGGUUAUGUCGUGGACGAUUAUGCCGAAGCUAAAAUGGAAAACUUGUUUGAGGCUCGAAUCAGCCUUCUUGUAGUUGAAGGCGAUAUCAGCCGAGUAAGAGCGCUAAUAAACAAUGAUUUGUUAGAGGAUGAUGAGUACGAUGUUCUCCAAUUUGAAAAUGUGUGGAAGCUAAUGAAUGGUAUUCGAAAUAUUCGGUGUCUCUAUUUGUCUCCUAAUACUCUUGAGGUUAGUUUUUUUUGUUCUUUUCUCUAUUUAGCUGGUCUUGGUAAAAUAAAUGAAAGAUAACCAGUACUUCGUCUCAAUUUACGGAGCAUGGCAGUCAUGUUUCUUCGGUCCCAUUUUUAACAAAUAUAAUAAGCAAAGGUCUAAUUAUGGUUUCUCUUGUUAUGAGGUGCUUUCUCUAUGCUGUGAAUCGAUGCCAGUGUUCAAAAACCUCAAAUCUUUGUCUAUCAAGAGUGCCGAGAAUCGAGGAUGGCAAGCAAUGCCAGUUCUUCUAAGGAACUGUCCGCAUUUAGAAACUCUAGUCCUUGAGGUACGUAUAACACAAUUCAUUAAUUUGCCAAACAUGUACAAAAUAUCAUACUUUGAAUUUCUCAUUGUCACUUUUAUGCUUUCAGGGUCUAUUGCACCAUGUAACAGAUAAAUGUGGGGAUGCUUGUGACUGUGUUUCCCGAGAAGACAAAGGUCGUUCACUCACAUCGUGUCCAGUAAAAGUGUUGGAGAUUAAAGGGUUCCAAGGAACAACCAAAGAGAUGAACAUGAUAAAACAUUUCUUGGAAUAUUUUCCGUGUUUGAAAGAGCUAAAAAUGUAUAUGGAAGAGAAUGAUCCUGCACAGCUCAGAGUCCCUGAAGUUAUCACGGGGGAGAUGAUGGAACGCUACAAAAAGUCAUCAAGUUGCAAUGUCCAGCUCCUAGUAGGUGGUAAGUUGUAUAAGAAGUGGACUCCAUGAUGAAGCCUCUAAAGAAGAAAAGUUUUGGAAUUUGAUUUUGGUUUAAAUUGGCUUGAAAAACUGUUUCAAACCAAGACAAUCGGAAAGCCGUGGGUAAAGGGGAUUCUCCCAUUAAGAAAUGGGUAAAGGGGAUAGGGAUAGGGAUUCUUGCUUUUGUCCCUAAUCUUGAUAUCGAUGACAAUACUUUUCUGCAUCCGGAAAUGGGUAAAGGGGAUAGGGAAGAUAUUCGAGAGCUCUUCAUGGAUUUUGUUGAUAGAGUAUUGGCAUUGCAGGGUGAUUCUCCCAUUAAGAAAGUCUCCAUCAACUGUGUCGGUGUUGAUUCAGUUAGAGUGGAUGCUUGGAUACGUAAUGUGAUGUUACGUGGUGUUUCAGAGCUUGUUCUUUUAAUCGUUUUGGAUGUCCAGUCGAUUGGUAAGAAGUUUUGGGUGCCUCCAAAAUGUUUCGAGAGCAAGAAACUAGUUAAGCUAGAGAUAGGUUAUGGAGUUGAUAUUGGUUGGUUAGAUGGAAGCUUUUUCUUACUGAUGCUUAAAACUCUUGUUCUUAGGUUAGUUCAGUUAUCUGCUGAUAAGUUUAAGAUUCUUCUUCAUGAUUUGCCUGCGCUUGAGGAAUUAGCCAUGGGUUAUGUAACCUGGAGUGAAGAUGAUGCUGUUGUGUCAGAUGCAAGUCUAAAAGAGACUAACAAUAACUUCCAACCAUUAUGUCUGCUAUUCUUAUUAUUAUUUAGACACUUUUUCGGUUGAUACGCCGAGUCUCACUUACUUCUCUUACUCUGACUUGUUGCUAAAGACUACCCUGUAAUUAAGAUGGAAAACUAAUACACUUCUCUUACUUCACUUACUUCGGAAUUUGAUUUUUGUGUAAUUGGUGUAUAUAUAUAUCUAUAAACCAAUAAACCCCUCCUAAAUAUUCUGAAAUUCUUAGUUAUAUUAAUCAAAAUAAUACCUUUUUUUGCAAAAUUUAACCAAUUUUUUAAGUUUUUUAUUUUAUUUUCCAAAACCGAUCCAAAUCCAACACUUAUCAAUAGUCUUAAAGCUGUCCCGGAUUAUACAUGUUUGACCUCGUCACGGGGCUAAUGUUGUGAUGUCCAAUUCAUGAUCUGCGAUUCUUUGCGCGAUCAAAUCUUUAACGUGAAAAAGCUUGCUCUAUGUUUUUACCAAAGUCCUGCCCUUCAACGUGAAAAAGUUUGCUUUCUUCUGCAGCCUAACUCAAGCUGUCCCGGUUUACCGAAAUUAAACCAGUGAUUUUUAAGAACCGGAUUAAAUAAAACCCUAAUUUUGUUUUCUUAAAAUUUGGAUGUUUCGGCUUCUCCGAUGCCUUUUUCUUCAUAAAAUCAAAGAAACCAGCGAUAAAGCAACUCCCAAAUCUCUCUUUUCUUGAAAUCUCCAAUAUUUGUUUCUUGGUAAGUAUCGAAGUUUACUCAAUUCGCUUUUUAAGGUUUCGUAGUUCACAAGCUUCCUUUCGGAUGUAUUCCUAGUUGCGUUGUUAACUUAGCGUUUCUCUCUUUUAGGGUUUACCAGUUAUAAUUAAUUGCUUCCUUCUACAUGCUCGAAUUUUUACAUGAAUCUAAAGACCAAACCUUUCUCUGUUUGUAGUUGAACUGUUUGGUAAUAUACGAAGCUUUUCUAGAGAAAAUGGAUCUCUUAAGCAAUCUACCAGACGAGCUUCUUUGUCAUAUAUUGUCCUUCUUUACCACAAAGGAGGCUGCUUUGACUUCUGUUCUCUCAAAGAGGUGGCGACAUCUGUUUGCACUUGUCCCUAAUCUUGACAUUGAUGACUCUAUGUUUCUAUACCCUGAAGAGGGUAAGCGUGAUAGGAACGAAAUUCAACAGAGCUUCGUUGAAUUUGUCGAUAGAUUAUUGUUAUUGCAGGGUAAAUCUCCCACUAGAAAAGUCUCCCUCAAGUGUAUAAGUAUGUCUGAUCCAGACCGCCUAGAUGAUUGGAUAAGUAAUGUGUUGGCUCGUGGUGUUUCCGAACUUGAUCUGUCAAUCGAUUUGUGUAUGGAUGAAUACAUUCUCUUGUCUUCAAAACGUUUCGAGAGCAAGAAUCUAGUUAGGUUGAAAUUACACCGUAUUUGUAUUGGCCAACCGGAAAACCCUAUUGGUUGGUUGGCUGGGGGAAUAUUAUUACCAAUGCUUAAAACUGUCCUACUUGAGUCAGUUGGGUUUUAUGUUGAUGAGGUUUUUCUUAGAGCUUUGCCUGUUCUUGAGGAAUUAGUCAUGGUUGAUGUAUUCUGUUCUGGAGCGUUAAGGAUGUCAUCGUGUCAAAUGCAAGCCUCAAGACCCUAACAAUGAGUUCCAACCAUUAUACGGGAACUAUGUCAUUCGAUACACCUAGUCUAGUUUACUUUUGUUACUCUGACUAUGUUGCUAAAGACUACCCCUUAGUUAACAUGGAAAACUUACUUGAGGCUAGAAUCAAACUUUUGUUAACUGACGAUCAAGUCGAAAGAGCAAGAGAGCCAAAUAACGAUGGCGUGGAGGCUGAUGAGGACGAUGUUGUUCUACAAUUUGCAAAUGUGGGGAAGCUCAUGAAUGGCAUACGAAAUGUUCAGUAUCUAGUGUUUUCUGCUAAUACUCUCGAGGUCAGUUUUCUCUUCUUCUUUUCUUGAAACAUCUAUGGCAAAAUGUCUAAUUGACGUGUGUCUUGUGUUCAGGUGCUUUCUCUAUGCUUUGAAUCAAUGCCAGUGUUCAACAACCUAAAAUCGUUAACUAUUGAGGGUAAAAAGAGGCGAGGAUGGCAAGCACUGCCAGUUCUUCUAAGCAACUGUCCAUAUUUAGAAACUCUAGUCCUUGAGGUAUAAAAAAAUAACUAAUUUGCCAAAACAUGAACCAAGAUAGCUUUCAUAUAUACUUUGAAUUGAAUCUCUUAUUGUGUCCUUUAUGGUAUCACUCUUUCAGGGUCUCUUGCACUAUGUCACAGAUAAAUGCGGGGAUGCUUGUGGCUGCAUUUCUCGAGAGGAUAAGGGUCGUUCACUCACAUCUUGCCCAGUAAAAGUUAUAGAGAUUAAAGGGUUUCAAGGAAAAAAGAAAGAGAUGCACAUGAUAAAGCAUUUCUUGGUUUAUUUUCCGUGUUUGAAAGAGAUAAAAAUCUAUAUUGAAGAGAAUGCACUUGAAGUGUCUAAAGUUAUCGCAAAGAGGAUAAAUCGCUACAACAAGGUAUCGAAUUGCAACGUGCAGCUCCUGGUAAGUGGUUGCUUGUAUAAGGAGUGGAGUGCACAAUGAAGUCUUGGAAGAACGAAAGUUGUUUUGGUUUGAUUUCAUUUAAUUGGCUUGAAAACAUUUUUUACCCUAAACCAAACCAAUCGCAAAACUGUUGUUCUUUCUUCUCUUGCAUUCUUGUUGAACUCAUACAAAGCACCAGUGCACCACUAUCACGCAAAGGUUAGCUCUCACAUCUCUCACUCUCAUAUGCUCUGUUUCUCUUUCUCUGUUUUAACAGAAGCAUAUAGUUACUCUCUCUAAUCUCUGCCUCUUUUGUCUAACAUUUUAACAAAUACAUAAACGUUUUCAAAGAGAAGAGAAACAUUGAAUGUCUACAUGUUGGUAAAACUUGGAUACACUCUUACAAGACACACUCACACAUACUUAUACUACUUGUACUUGGCACACUUACACAUACAAACAUGCCUUAAUCACAUAAUUAACUCUAGACUCUACUACCUUGAAACUCUAACCACAACACUUGCACACUGCUUUACUUUAAUUAAACUUCAACCUCAAGCUAACCCAAAAAACACACUUUACUCUUGUUUGGGCCUUAACGAAAGCUGCAGCCACACAAGCCCAACAUAUCUUUAUGUUGACUUAGCUUCUUCUCCUUUGGCUCGAUUUCGUCUUCUUUCUUCAUCGUCUUUCUCUUUUACAGGUUUAAUCAAAGGCUCAAAUCUUCUUUCGUGCAGAGAAGAUGGAUCAUGUUAGCAGUCUACCAGACGGUGUUCUUUGUCAUAUAUUGUCCUUCCUCACCACAAAGGAAGCUACGUUGACUUCCAUUCUCUCCAAGAGAUGGCGCAAUCUGUUUGCGUUUGUCCCUAAUCUCGAUAUUGAUGACUCUAUCUUUCUCCAUAAUGAAGAUUUUAAGGAGGAUAGGUACGACAUUUAUCACUUAUCAGAGCUUCAUCGAUUUUGUUGAUAGAGUAUUGGCAAUGCAGGGUGAUUCUCCCAUUAAGAAACUCUCCCUCAAGUUUAGAACUGGCUUUGACUCACACCGAGCAGAUGGUUGGAUAAGUAACACGUUGGUUCGUGGUGUUUCCGAACUUGAUGUGCUAAUCAGUUUGCAUGGAACAGAUUACCAUUUUCUGUCUCCAAAAUGUUUCAAGACCAAGAAUCUGGUUACUCUGAAAUUAAACAGUCUUGCUAUUGACUGGGACAUAUUCUUACCAAUGCUUAAAACUCUCCUUCUUCACUCUGUUACGUUAUGUGUUGAUAAGAUGUUUUCUUAGUGCUUUGCCUGCGCUUGAGGAAUUAGUCUUGUUUGUUGUGCCCUGGGGAGGUAAGUCUAACGAUUUCCUCUUAAAACAUUCGAUGUUUCAGCUUCUCCGAUGUCUUUGCCUGUCUUCUCCAACCUGAAACCUUUGUAUCCUUUCUUCGAAUCUUCGCUAGUAGCUCCCUAGGAACAAGGUAGGUGUCGAACUUUACUAAAUUCUCCUUUAUUUGAGAUUUCUUAGUUCAGAAGUUUCCUUUUGGCUAUUUACGUUGUUAACUAAUUAGGGUUUCUCUCUGUUUUACCAACUCAUCUUCGCGUCAAUUUAAUAAUCAAAACUUUCUCUAAAAGGAUUUCAGAGUCUAAAGAGAUUCGUGUUAUUCAUCACAAUGAGCAACAUACAACAUAUAUAGAGUAGAUGUACAACCGAAAGCGUAAAUCUAGGGAAAUCUAUCUAGUUCAGAAGAUCUAGUUACACAGAAUAUAUGAAUCUGUUAGAGUAUAUUCGUAGAUGAUUAUGCCAAGAAUAACUGAAGAUAACCGAGCCAAAACAAACCCCUAAUAUUCUCUGUUUGUAUCGCUGAUUUCUCACAAGAGCUUGUCUUCUUUCGUGUAGAGAAGAUGGAUCUCUUAAGAAAUAUACCAGACGAGCUUAUUUGCCAUAUAUUGUCCUUCCUUACAACAAAGGAGGCUGCUUUGACAUCGGUUCUCUCCAAGAGGUGGCGCAAUCUGCUUGCUUUUGUCUCUAAUCUUCACAUUGAUGACUCUAUCUUUCUGCAUCCCGAAGAGGGUAAGCGUGACAGGAACGAAAUUCGACAGAGCUUCCUAGAUUUUGUGGGUAGAAUAUUGGCAUUGCAAGGUAAUUGUCCGGUUAAGAAAGUCUCCAUCAAGUUUCUAUUUAAGCUUGAUUCAGACCGAGUUGAUGGUUGGAUAAGUAAUGUGUUGGCACGUGGUGUUUCCGAACUUGAUCUGUCAAUCGAUUUGUGUAUGGAUGAAUACUUUCUGUUGUCUUCAAAACGUUUCGAGAGCAAGAAUCUAGUUAGGUUGAAAUUACACAGACUUUGUAUUGGCCAACGGGAAAAAACUGUUGGUUGGUUGGCUGGGGAGAUUUUCUUACCAAUGCUUAAAACUCUCGAACUUGAUUAUGUUGGGUUUUAUGGUGAUUUGUUGUUUCUUAGAGCUUUACCUGCGCUAGAGGAAUUAGUCAUUGUUGAUGCAUUCUGGUUCACGACCUUUACGGAUGUCACCGUGUCAAAUCCAAGCCUCAAGACCCUAACAAUGAGUUCCAAUAUUUAUUCAGGCAGUAUUUCAUUUGAUACACCUAGUCUUGUUUACUUUAGUCACUUUAAGUAUGUUGCUAAAGACUACCCCUUAGUUAACAUGGAAAACUUACUUGAGGCUAGGAUCAACCUUGGGGUAACUGAGGGUCAAAUCAGACGAGCAAGAGAGCCAAAUAACAAUGACGAGGUUGUUCUCCGGUUUCCAAAUGUGGGGAAGCUCAUGAAUGGCAUACGAAAUGUUCAGUGUCUAGACUUGUCUGCCAAUACUCUUGAGGUCAGUUUUUCUUUUUUCUUUUCUCUCGAGGUGAUAAAAUAGAGAAAUCCACGACGGUUAUGUUUAUUUAGUCCCAUUUUAACGAACUAGCGAGAGUCUUGUUUAGAGACAUGUAAUGGCAAAAUAUCUAAUUGUGGGUUGUCUUAUUAUCAGAUGCUUUCUCUAAGCUGUGAAUCAAUGCCAGUGUUCAAAAACCUCAAAUCUUUAUCUAUCAAGAGUGCCGAGAAUCGAGGAUGGCAAGCAAUGCCAGUUCUUCUGAGGAACUGUCCACAUCUAGAAACUCUAGUCCUUGAGGUAUAGAAAUAACUCAUUUAUCAAACAUGUACAAAGAUAUAGUUCAUACUUUGAUUUGAAUCUCUUAUUCAUGUCUUCUUUAUGCUCUCAGGGUCUCUUGCACUUUGUCACAGAUAAAUGCGGGGAUGCUUGUGACUGCGUUUCUCGAGAGGAAAAAGGUCGUUCGCUCACAUCUUGUCCAGUAAAAACGUUAGAGAUUAAAGAGUUUCAUGGAACAAUGGAAGAGAUGUACAUGAUAACGCAUUUCUUGGACUAUUUUCCGUGUUUGAAGGAGCUAAAGAUCUAUAUUGAAGGGAAUGAUCAUGCACAGCGCGAAGUGUCUGAAGUUAUCGCGGAGAAGAUAAAACUCUACAACAAAUCAUCGAGUAGCAAUGUCCAGCUUAUGGUUAGUGGUUACCAUGAAUAAGAAUACGACUGCACUGCACAAUGAAGCCUCUGAAGAACAAAACUAAAGCAUAGGUUUUUACUACCAUGAGAAAUAAGCCUAUUAUUGGUCCCGUGAAAUCUAGCAGGUAGAACAGAAUAAUAGAAAACAACGCAAUCCCAAACAAUGCAUUCGAAAGCAGUCUGUUACCAUUUUUUCUCCUUCAACUCAAUUAUGUUUAUAAGCCAACAAGAUUUCACGCGUUAUUUAACUCAGGCCAUAAACUGAUGUUUAACAUUUGUAUGAAUGCUAUACAUCAUGAACAUCGAACAUAGAAGACUUUCCUUUGUUUCUAUAUUCAUAUAUAUAUAGACUGUAGUAAAUAUUUCCCAAGUAAAGCACGAGACAAUUUUAUUAAGAUAUAGUAAUUGAGUUUCACAAGUAAUUAGCUUAAGACCUUGAAUGUUUGUAAAUUUCUACAAUGGUUUUUUUUUUUUAUCAUUCAAGAUAAAGUAAUGGGAAUCUAGCUAGAUUUUUAAAGUUUCUACAAAUUAUCAAACAAAAGACCAGAAACCAAUUCUAUUAUUCAAAUUAGAUUCGUUUUUCGAGUUGAUAAAUUUAGGUUCGGUUCACACCUCAACAAGGAGCAAAUUUUGGCCUUUUCGGAACUUCCUAUGUAGUGUAAACCUUGAAGAAAAGUCAAUCAGAAGUUUUACGUAACGCAUGCAUAUAUGUCCUCGUACUCAAAAGAAAAGCAUACACAAGAUACAUUGCAUUUACACAAACGAAACGCUCGAGCACCAUUAAUUAAUGAUGGAUUUACACUCGACAACUUUCAUUAUAUAACCAAGACUUCACGUUAUAAUCCUCUUUUCAUCUAAAACUUUUUGUGUUAUUACGAAUCUUGUUCUUUUGAAUAUUGUGUUCGAUUCUUUCCUCAAAUUUAUUGUUUCCCCUUUUUUGUGUUCGAUUCGUUGCUCUUACCAUUAUAGUUUUUGGAGCUCUUUUGACUUAAAAAAGAAAGAAAGAGAGAAAGCAAUCAAAGCCGUUGGAGACUCAUACCUGUACCCAUAACAACAAUACACGUUUUAUAAAUGGGAGAUAUUAAGUCUGACCAUAUUAUUCCAAGUUAUAAAACAUGUUGAUGUAAAAAAUGUGUGAAUGCACGUGGAUUCUAUGAAGAGAGCUCGUGUAAGCGCGGUGUAUGAAGGUAAAGAGAGAAAUAGAUCAAGCAACGGAGAGGAAACUCGAAGGGAACAGUCUAAACACGCGAGAAUGACGGCAAAAGCUCGGAUGAACGUUUACAAAGAGAGCAUGAAACCUCUGCCGCCUAAACGUAAGAAAUCGUUGAUGAUCAUAAGUUUGAUGAGAAAGAAGGAAGAUACGCAAGAUGAUCAAAAUAAUGUUACUGUUGUCGAAAAGGAAAAGGAGGAGAAAGAGAAAGGCACGGUGCAGAACAUCAGGGAAAAUGCGGAAAUGCUCUCAUCAAAAUGUGUUGAGGAGUGGCCGCACAUGUUAACAUAUGAAGAGGAAUGGACGUGGUUUGCGUUUGCGUUUGGGUGGGGAUGGUGGCAGCGUUAUGACGCGGUGAUGAGCGGUAAGAGUUGGUUUAACUAAAUAUUAAAGAUUAAGGUGUUUGUUACAAAUCAUUUUGGGUUGGUGAAACUAUAUACAUAGAUGAUAGUUGAUACUUGAUAGGAUUUCUUAAGAUAAAAGAAGAUAUUGAGAAAUCAGUGUAUGUAUAUCGACCGAAACGAAAAUAUAUCUUUAAAGGGUUCACUUUCGUUUAUGUUUAUAUACAGAGAUUUCUCAUAAUAGAUUUUCAGUAUUUUUUUUUGUUUUAUUUGGUGUUUCAAUAUUUCGAACAAAAUCCAAAAGCGUAUAUACAGACUUAGACGCUGGUGAAACAUGCAUGACUUGCAUUAUUAGAGCAUCCACAACGGUGGGAUCCAAAAAUCAAGAUUAUAGUUUGUUUUUUUCUAUUCCGCAAGAUUCAAACUAAUUGGAUUUUCGGUAGAUCUACCAACACAUAAACUACCUAUAUUGGGUUAACCAUUUUAGAAUCAAUUUUAGGAGAUAAACCCUAAUUUAAAUACAUUUUAGUUAAUAUUAAAGUUUAAACUACACGCAUGUAAGUCUACACAAAUUAUAUAAAAAACACUUCAAAGAACUUUCCGUUCACACAUUUGAUGAUUUCUUGUAGUUUCAUUAAGUCAAUGAACACACAAGUUUCAAAUUGAUAUUUCAGGUCAUUAAGACAAUGUUGACACACAAGUUUCAGAUUGAUAUGUGAGAUCAUUAAGAAAAGGGUCUUAAUCAUAAAUUUAAAAGUGGACUCUUAUCCGCAAGCCUAUCUUAUGUAUAUGGCACUGGCACCGUCCACAAAUGUGUCUAUCAUCCUUUCAAGUGGACCAUCCUUUUCCUUUAAGGUAAUAACUCUGUGUGACUGAGAUCUACAAACACAUGUUACACACUUCACAGUCCUUAUAAAGUAAAUUUACUUAUUAUUAAGAAAAUAAGAUUUUGUAACUUUUUUCCUCUUAAAACAAUGGACAAAUAUGAAUACAAAUCCAUAUGUCACUAUUAUCUAUAUUUACACAAUUUAUUCGAUUUUUUGUAUGUUGUCUUAUCUCAUCGGAAAUUUUCAAACUAGUUAACCAUCGGAAAAAAUCAAGACGCACGGAUAUAUAAAUUACAUAUUCAUAAAUCAGACAUUUGACAAUCCGAUAGAAAUUGUCUCAUAAAGAGAAAAAGAACACAGACAAUAGGAAAUGAAAUGAGCAGAGAUAAUUCAUAAGAAUGUUUUAGAAAAGAAAUUAAGCUUCGGUGAAGCUUGGGGGCUUGUAGGCAAUGAAACUGAUGCAUUGGACUUGACGGGUGUUGUCGAAUCCGAUGAUCCUAAUGAAGGCGCCCGGGUACUCCUUCUUGCAUUCUUCAACUUCCUUCAACACUUGAGCGGAGUCGGUGCAUCCGAACAAUGGAAGCUUCCACAUUGUCCAGUACCGUCCAUCGUAGUAUCCGGGAGUGUUUCCGUGCUCACGGUACACAAAUCCGUGCUAUAAACACAUAAGAAAACCAUUCAAUACAAUUGAUAUUGGAGGAUAUGCACAAGGUGAUAUAGUCUAUUUCGGUUCUACAAAAUCCGGUUAUAGGCUAAUAUUUCUAGCAAUGAAAACGAAUAAAUAAUAAUGAUUAGUAGACAAAAGAAAACUUUUGUGUUUAUUACCUCUAACUCGAAUUCAACACAAGGAAUCCACUUGUUGCGGAGAAGGUAGUCAACUUCCUUAGCCAAUUCGACGUCACUAAGGUCAGGGAGGUAAGAUAGAGUCUCAAACUUCUUCUUUCCAAUUGGUGGCCACACCUAUAAUCCCCAAAUCCAAUUCCAAAUUAAUAUAUCCUAUGUUUUGUUUUAUUGCACAUGACAAAAGACAGUUUUUAUUGAUGAUAUUACCUUCAUGCAGCUAACUCUUCCCCCGUUGCUUGCGAUGGAAGUGAUGUCCUUGUUGGUCUUGCGGGUGACCGGGAAUGCAGCGGAUGACUUCAAGCCGGUGAAUGGAGCGACCAUGGUGGCCUGAGCCGGGGAUGUAACCACAGCGGCGGAGGAGAGCAUAGAGGAAGCCAUUACUACUUCUUGUUGUUUCUCUUCUUCUUUUGCUCGUUUACUUACUGACUUGUUUUCCUACUGGUGUUGUCAUCUUUAUAUAAUGAGAACCCCCUAAAGGCGAAAAGCCCUCAUGAUCAAAGGGUCCAUGAUUCAUGAUAACGUCGUUUACUGCCACAGGAUUAAGGAAAGGUGUUGACACCCUUAUCGGUACGCACCACUAGGAUAAGGCCACGUGGCAGAAAACUCCAUUAUCUUAUCUUUUCUCUUGUGGGGGAAAUGAAGUGAAUGUGCGGUUACUGGUCUCCACUUGAUCGGUUGCUUUUGGCUCCUUUCGUUUGGGAGAAAAGAAACCAGACGCAUUACCUUAAAUUUAAUGCUUUUGGUCUUUUGGACCUCUUAUUUACCAUGUAUGAUUUAAUUUGGCUUAACACUUUCUUUGGAAAUAAGGUCGCAUUAAAAAAUAGUUAUAACAAAAUUAUUUAAAUUUGAUAUUUACAUAAAUAUAUUGUAUGAUAUUUAUCCGGACAAAAAAAAAAGCUUUAACCAUCUCCAAUAUUUGUUUCUAUUAUUUUCUUUCUGAAUAUAGAGGAAAAAAUAUAAUAGAGAUUUAUAUUUUAACUUCAAUGGUUCCUCAAAAAUUCGUUAGAAAAAAUAAAUAAGAGAAAAAAUAAAAAUCUCUAUUUUUUGCUUUAGAAAAAAAAUUAGAAAUUUCUAUUUUACAAAUGAAAAUAGAGAUGAGUUAGAGUUAAAUAAAUACAAAAAUAGAGUAUAUAAAUAAAAAUAGAGAUAGAUUCGAGAUGCUCUUAAAAAUAUUCAUUACUCUUUCCGUUUUAUUAAUAUCAAUUGUUAAGAUUUUUCAGGCAGACUUAUAAAUAAGAUUCCAUUUCAGACUAAUGGAAGUAAACCUAUCAAAAGAAUUCUAACGUGCUGUAGAGAGACUCCUUCGUCAUCGUCCCUUUUGUGAAAGAGUAAAUUAAAGAAUCCAUAAUGAGCAUAGUGUAAGAAGAACCAUUUAUCUAUUAGAUAUAUUCUAGUACUGGUAGACUGUCGAUUCUGGAUACAUCCUGAAAAUCAUUUACCACAAUAAAUUGUCGAUAAUCUUUUUGUUGGAAAAGUUAUAUAUUAUCUUCAAAUGAUAAUAUAUUAGUCGACAAAAGAAAAGCGAGACAAAAUUUGAAUACAUUGAUUUCGGUUAAUUCAAUACUUUCACUUCAUUUUUAGCAAAUAGUACUUUUAUUUCUGAUUUUUAUGUGGCUAGGAUAAAAGCAAAACCUUACUGGUUGGAGAGAGUAAAUAUUUGAGUCGAUACUAACAACAACUACAUCAUGCAAGAUAUGUUUGUGGGACAAAGAGACCGAGCGAACAAACGAAACGGCAAAACCAUCAUCUACAUGUAUCAAGUGCGCGGUAAACCCCUCAUGGAAGAAUUUCCAAGAAAACCUCCCAAAGUCCAUGGUAUCUUCUAUAUGAGGUAAUGCACGCUGCCUCUAGAUCAACAAGUAAUAUCAGCUCACGAUUAUCUUGCGACUCUGAUCACAUCACAAUAACAAUGGGGAACCCACAUACGCAACCGUUCUCCUUGGAGUACCAUGCCAUUGCACUUACGGCCCCCUCAAGCACAAAUAUGGCACCUCAAGCUGAUUUCCACCAUGCAAACUUGAGUAUGUAAUCAAAGGUGUAGAACGGAGUCAAGAACUCAUCUUAAAGUCACAUAAAACUAUGGUCAUGCACUCAUGGAUCACGACUACUACCUUCAGGCUCACAAAUUAAUGCCCCCUUUUCAAUCAUAUAUAUGAGAAGAAACGUGUACAAAGUACACAUUAACUGGUCACGAAAAAACUUUCGUGUAGGGAAAAGGAUCACAAGGUCCACUCCACUCCGCACCUCAGCUAAAUAAAUCAUUUUUCGAAAGUGAGAUAGUCUUAACUCUUAAGUCUUAACCCAUCCAUCUAAGUUACUAGUUUCUGUCUUUUAUAAGUCAUUUUGUUUCUUUUUCUUGGAUUUUAAUUGAAGCCAAAAUGUGUGAAUUAAAUCCGGGAGAUGGAAAAAAUGUUCGAUAAUUUGAAUUAUUAUUUUUAUAUGUAUUUUGUAUUUGAAUCAUGAAUUUUUUAUAUUUCGUUUGCAUAGAAGAAUCCAAAAACAUAUGAUUUUUUGUCAAAACAAAAACUUAAAACCAAACAUAUAGUAGAUGCGACGUUUUCAUUAUCAUUUGGAAUCUAGUUUUAUUUAGAACUUUUUGGGAACGUUAACUACUUUUCCUUCUAAAUAACUGUUUCAGCUUUUAAUGCAUAACCAAUGAUCAAAUUUAACGUAAACAAAAUUUCCAAAAUUUAGUAACUUCAUGCUUGACAAAUUUCAGUCUUUGUCGAUCCUUGCUUUAUGUAAUGCUAUUUCUUGACUUAAUAUCCCACUUAGGGGUUUGGAAUACAUGUUUUAUGUUUAUAAUUUUAAAAGAUGCAUUUGAAUUUUCUGUAUAUACUACCUUUUCCAAAUCUCCAAUGGCUAUGUCAUCUGAAAAAUGGUUACACUCCCUUACAUAAACUUUUCUCUAAAUAUCGAGGUUUGAUUGAUUGCUUUCAUGUGCAAAAUUUCUUAAAACAAUGUAGCAAGUUUUUCUUUUUUUAUUAGAGUUUAUUGGUUAGUCUAGGGAGUCAAAAGCAAGAAUUAUGAGGAUAAUUUAAAGGAGCCACAAUGUUGUUUAAAGGAGCUAAACGAAAAAUAAGAUUUCAAAGAUUUAAGGGCAAAAAUGAAAUGAAAUGAUAACUAUAAUUAUAGAGAAACUGAUAGGAAUAACAUUUUCACUUUCAAACAAUAGUUCCUCAACUGUUAAGUCGGCAAAUAAUUUCUUAAAUUUGCAUUGACCACAUAGAAAUGGGUUCCAGAAUAAUCAACGCUGAAUAUUCCAGAAAGGGGAUUAAGCUUCGGUGAAGCUUGGGGGCUUGUAGGCAAUGAAACUGAUGCAUUGGACUUGACGGGUGUUGUCGAAUCCGAUGAUCCUAAUGAAGGCGCCAGGGUACUCCUUCUUGCAUUCUUCAACUUCCUUCAACACUUGAGCGGAGUCGGUGCAUCCGAACAAUGGAAGCUUCCACAUUGUCCAGUAUCGUCCAUCAUAGUAUCCGGGAGUGUUUCCGUGCUCACGGUACACAAAUCCGUGCUAUAUAUAAAGAAAACCAUUCAAUACAAUUGAUAUAUAUAUUGGUGAUAGUCUAUUUCGGUUAUCCACUUAAGUUUCUAGCAAUGAAGAAGAAGAAUAAAGGAUGCUUAGAGACAAAGGAAAAGUUCAGUGUAUAUUACCUCCAACUCGAAUUCAACACAAGGAAUCCACUUGUUGCGGAGAAGGUAGUCAACUUCCUUAGCCAAUUCAACGUCACUAAGGUCAGGGAGGUAAGAUAGAGUCUCAAACUUCUUCUUUCCGAUUGGUGGCCACACCUAUAAAUUCGAAUUCCCAAUUAUUCUAAAGUAUUGUUCAGUUGCACUAAUUGCACAUGACAAAAGACAGUUUUCAUUAAUGACAUUUACCUUCAUGCAGCUAACUCUUCCUCCGUUGCUUGUGAUGGAAGUAAUGUCGUUGUUGGCCUUGCGGGUGACCGGGAAAGAAGCGGAUGACUUCAAGCCGGUGAAUGGAGCGACCAUGGUGGCUUGAGCCGGGGAGGUAACCACAGCGGUGGAGGAGAACAUAGAGGAAGCCAUUACUUCUUCUUGUUGUUUCUCUUCUUCUUUUGGUUUUUCUCUUACUUACUUGUUUGUCUGUUGGUUUUGUCAUCUUUAUAUAGUGGGAACCGCUAGAGGCAACUAGCCCUAAUGAUCAAAGGGGCCAUAAUUCAUGAUAACGUCGUUAAUUGCCACAGGAUUAAGGAAAGGUGUUGACACCCUUAUCGAUUUGGACCACUAGGAUAAGAUCACGUGGCAGAAAACUCCAUAAUCUUAUCUUUCUCAUGUAAGGGUAGGAGUGAAUGUGUAUGGCUACUGGUCUCCACUUGAUCGGUUGCUUUUGGCUCCUUUCAAUUGGGAGGCGUCAAAUUGUAGAUAUCGGUUAAAUACUUUUUACAUAUAGAUUAAAAAAAUGAUUAAAUUUCUAUUACCUUAUAUUAACACAUUCAUAUUUUUAUUUUUCCACUUGAUAAUCUUAAAUAAUAAGAAUAUAAGUAUAAUCUUUGAAUUCAUCCCACAUUUUAAAAGUAUAAUUAAAUCAGACAGAGUUCAUUCAAAAUGGUUUUUAAUUGGGAAAUGUAAACUAGUAUUUUGUGUUAUUAUUUUCUAUGUAGUAUGUACGAUCACUAGAACUUUUAGUCACAUAAUGGAUAUUAAAUUAGAAAACAAUCCAAAUGCUUGUGAAUUUUCAGGUUUUACGGCUAAUUAAUAUAUUUCUGAUGAACAAGAGGAACCCACGGCACCGUUCCUUUUGGAGCACAACGCAAUUGCACUUACGGCCCACUUAAGCACGAAUGUGGCACCUCAAGAUAAUUCCCACCAUGACAACUUAAGCACAAAAGCCAUGACGGAUCAUGGGGAAAUUUUAUAACACACUUCAAUGGAUGGUGUGGAUCCGAGGGAAGAAUCCACACUCUAAGGCCACAUGAAGAAGCUCAUAUGGUCAUGGGUCCACGAAUACCACGUAAAAGCUCAUAUAUGCCCCGGUCCAACCAUAUGAGAAGAAGUAGCCAAACCCAUUCAAGAAACAUUGAUUACUUUUCAUUGUAAAUAAGUGUUUUAGCUUUGAAUGUAUCGUAAACUAUCUAAUUUAAUGUAAAACAGUUUCCAAAUUAUAAAUAUUCAUGCUUUGUUAUCUCCAUUAUAAAUUUCAUUAAUUCUUGCGUGUCCUUGCUUGCUAUGAUGUCAUCUCUAAAUUUUUGGACUUGCGGCUCUAGAAUUCAUGUUUAUGGAUUUAAAAUAUACAGUUGGAUUUUUCUAUGUCAUUUUAAAAAAGAAAAUUUUUAGAUUAGAUUUUAAAAAGAGAAAUAAACGUGUUUACAACUUAAUGCAUACUUUUUUGAAAAACAAAUCUAAAACAGAGGAUUUGGUCUUAAGCUUGUCUUGUACCAAACCAAACUUGAAGACCUCCUUCAUACUUCAAAGCUCCCCCCACUCCGUAUUGUGCUCAGCCGGUUCCAAACAUUUUUGUCAAUUAACUUGACAAGUUUCUCCAUUGGUGAUGGUUGUUCACCAUGCUUUCAAGCAUUUCUUUCUCCCCAAAUCGAAUGAACCGUGUUUUGGAAGACAUACCGUAGAAUGAAGAUUUUUGUUUUGUCAUAGUUUUUGUCACAAAUGGUUUUAAAGACUUCCCUCCAAUAUGUCGAGUACUUAUCAAGUAGUAUUCCCCUUAUCAGCUUCUCCCAUACCUUCUGCGAGUAAGAGCACCCAAAAAAAAGAUGGUGUCUUGUUUCCAUAGGUUCGUGACAGAACAUGCAGUUUGUGUUCACUUGUUGAUUCCAUUUAAACAUUCUGUCUCCCGUGGCAACUCUGUUUUUUGAAGCUAGCCAACUGAGAAAGGAGUAGUUAGGGUAAAGUAAAAGAAACAGAUCCCUUUGUAUCCGUCCAUCGUAGGCUUAGUGUUGCGAAUUUUUGAGCAUGUAUCUCUUGUGACAAACUUUUGACGGUAGUGAUCAUUUUUUCCUUUCCAAAGGGCUAUGUAACUUUCAUCUUCUCUGAGACGACAUCUCUAUUUUCUACGUAUUUUUACUACCUUUACUGGCUGUUUUUCAUCUUUAAAUUAAAAUGUUCUAAAUCAACCCUCAAAAUUUGAUUGAUGGACGCAUCUUUGCUAUGCUUUCAAGUGCGAAAUGUACCUAAAAAGGGUACUCUUUCAUUAGAGAACCAAAGGCAAGAAUUAGGAGAGAAAUUUAAAGGAACUAAAAUGUUAGUUAAAAGAGAUAAAACGAAUAAAAAGAGUUAAAAGUGAUAAGAGCAGAAAUGAAGUGAUAUGAAUAGAGAUUUUUAUAGAGGAAACGAUAGAAAAACAAACCUUCAGUUUUUUCACUUUGGCAAAAUAAUUACUUAAAUUUACAUUGACCAUACAAAAUUGGGUUCCGGAUAGUCAACAUUGAAUAUUCCAGAAAAGGAUUUAAGCAUCAGUGAAGCUUGGGGGCUUGUAGGCAAUGAAACUGAUGCAUUGGACUUGACGGGUGUUGUCGAAUCCGAUGAUCCUAAUGAAGGCGCCCGGGUACUCCUUCUUGCAUUCUUCAACUUCCUUCAACACUUGAGCGGAGUCGGUGCAUCCGAACAAUGGAAGCUUCCACAUUGUCCAGUACCGUCCAUCGUAGUAUCCGGGAGUGUUUCCGUGCUCACGGUACACAAAUCCGUGCUAUAAACACAUAAGAAAACCAUUCAAUACAAUUGAUAUUGGAGGAUAUGCACAAGGUGAUAUAGUCUAUUUCGGUUCUAAAAAAUCCGGUUAUAGGCUAAUAUUUCUAGCAAUGAAAACGAAAAAAAUAAUAAUGAUUAGUAGACAAAGGAAAAGUUUUGUGUAUAUUACCUCCAACUCGAAUUCAACACAAGGAAUCCAUUUGUUGCGGAGAAGGUAGUCAACUUCCUUAGCCAAUUCGACGUCAGUAAGGUCAGGGAGGUAAGAUAGAGUCUCAAACUUCUUCUUUCCGAUUGGUGGCCACACCUAUAAUUCCCAAUUCCCAAUUAUUCUUAAGUAUUGUUCAGUUGCACUAAUUGCACAUGACAAAAGACAGUUUUCAUUAAUGACAUUACCUUCAUGCAGCUAACUCUUCCCCCAUUGCUUGUGAUGGAAGUAAUGUCGUUGUUGGCCUUGCGGGUGACCGGGAAAGAAGCGGAUGACUUCAAACCAGUGAAUGGAGCGACCAUGGUGGCUUGAGCCGGGGAGGUAACCACAGCGGCAGAGGAGAGCAUAGAGGAAGCCAUUACUUCUUCUUCUUCUUCUUUUGCUUAAUUGUUUUUCUAUUGGUUUUGUCAUCUUUAUAUAGUGAGAACCGUAAGAGGCAAAAAGCCCUAAUGAUCAAAGGGUCCGGGAUUCAUGAUAACUCGUUCACUACCACAUGAUUAAGGAAAGGUGUUGACACCCUUAUCUUAUCUUUCUUUUGUGAGGAAAUGAGUGAUUGUGUAUGGUUUACUAGUCUCCACUUGAUCGGUUGCUUUGGCUCCUUCCUUUUGGAAGAAAAGAAAUCAGAUGCAUGACCGUAAAUAUAAUGUUUUGGACCUUUUAUUUAUCUUGUAUGUAUUUUUAAAAUUUGGUUUACAUUACUUCGGUUAAUAAAUACUAUAACAGGAAUAUCUAUAAACAGAGUCAUGACUCAUAAUGCAUUUCACAAUGUCAAAGCUGAACGUUGAGAUAAAUUUAUCAAUAGCACUAAAUAUUAAUCCGCGGUAUACCGCGGGUCUAUAUUUUCAUUAAAUAAAAAAUAAUUGAAUAUUUCUUAGGAUGACUUAAUAAAUUUCUGCUAUUGUUUGAUUUAAAUGUAUAAUUCACCGCGAGACAAAAUUUUAUAACUCAAAUUUUAAAGUUUUAAGUUGUAUUUGUUUAUUUUGUUAAAUGUUUAAUAUUGUAUAAUUGUAUUUUGAUUGUUGUUUCUCGGAUUUCACCCGUAGUACACCAUCCCAUAUUAAUAUCGAAUCAAACCCGUCAAUUCUAGGAUUUCACCUGUGGUAGUAUUUAAUUGUAUAAUAAUAACUUGAUUGUCAUUCUAGGAUUUCACUCCUAGUUCUAUCGCAAAUUAUUAUCAACUCAAACCAGUCAAUUCUAAAAUUUCACCCGUUGUACACCAUCCCAUAUUAAUAUCGAAUCAAGCCCGUCAAUUCUAGGAUUUCACCCGUGGUAGUAUUUAAUUGUAUAAUUAUAUUUUAAUUGUCAUUCUAGAAUUUUACUCCUAAUUCUAUCGCAAAUUAUUAUCAACCUAAACCAGUCAAUUCUAAAAUAUCACCCGUAGUACACCAUCCCAUAUUAAUAUCGAUUCAAACUCGUCAAUUCUAGGAUUUCACCCGUGGUAGUAUUGCGAGAGAAAUCUUAUAAAAGAAUCGAAAUGUGUUUUAAAAAAAUUAAAGUUUUAAGUAUUUUUUUUUAAUAUUGUUAAUUUUGUUUAGUGCUUAAUAUUAUAUAAUUAUAUUAUGAUUGUUAAUUAUAGGUUUUUUUCGUAGCAUAUCAUCCAAUGUUAUAAUUCACUCAAAGCCGUCACACCAUAUAACCCCGUCCCGUUAAAUUAAACACAAAUUUGUCAUUUUAUUAUAAAUUUCAAAUAUUUAUAAAAUUAGAAACUUCAAAAAAGAUUAAUAUUGACCCAAACUUCAUCAUUGAAUUUUGAGUGUUAUAUCUAAGAUUUCUCUCGCAGUAUAUCGUCCCGUAUUAAUAUCUUUUAUAUUGUUUAAAUUUCUUGUAAAAUUUGAUUUAUAAUUUUUUGAAACUUUUUAAAGUUUCAAUUCUUUAAAAUAAAUAACCCUAGUAAACAAACCAUUUUAAUUUUGGACACCUCAUAAAUCAAGUUUCAUGCUCAUUCGUAAUCGAAAUUAUUUUGGUCCUUUUUAUAGUAUGGCUCUGAACCAUUGUCCAAUUUUUUUAAGCGAUGUGGGACAUUGUACAAUCGUAAUUAUUAUCCACCCAAACCCGUCCUACCAUAUAACCCAGUCCCGUGAAAUUAAACAUAAUUUUGUCAUUUUCUUAUAAAUUUCAAUAUUAUAAAAUUUGAAACUUACAAAAAAUAAAAUAUCGACCUUGAUUAUAUUUAAGAUUUUUCCUGUAAUAUAUCGUCUUGUAUUAAUAUAUUUUAUAUAUAUAUUUAUAAUGUUUAAAUUUCUUGUAAAAUUCAAUUUAUAAUUUUUAAAACUUUAUCAGUUUUAAAAUUAUAAAUAUUUAAAGUAUUUUUUAAAGAUAAACUUUAUAAAAAGUUUUUAAAAUUAUAAUAUUUAACUUUUGAUAAAGUUAUAAUAUUUAUAAUUUCUUGAAACAUUUUAAAGUUUCAAUUCUUUAAAAUAAAAAACCCAAGUAAAUCGGAUAACUAUUUUAAUUUUGGACGACUGAUAAAUCAAGCUUCCUGCUCAUUCGUAAUCAGAAUCAUUUUGGUCCUUUUAUAAUAUGGGUCUGAAACAUUGUCCAAUUUUUCUAAGCGAUGUGAGACAUUGUAUACAUAUUAUUUCUUCAUACUUUGAAUAAUAUAUGUCCGUUUAAAAAAAUUUGAAUUACAUCAUAUGCAGAAAAAAAUAUAAUAUUUUAUUAACUAUAUAUAUUUUAUAUAAAUUCAAAAUAAAUAAAGUAUAAGAUCAAAUAAAAGUGAAAGAAGAAUUAUAUAUUUAUGUUUAAAUUAGGUAAAAAUAUUUUAGGAAAUUAGUUAAGGUAAAUAACAAAUAUGGUUCGUUUAGAGAUAUUGUUUAUAUUAAAUUUGGUAAUUAAAUCAUUAAUUUUUGUUUUUAAUUAUUAGUUUUUAGGUAACUUUUCCAAAAAUUAAUGUUAUCGAAGAUCAGAACAUAAUUAAACAUGUUAUCCAAGAUCCGAACAGAGUUAAACCGGGUUAUACCCACCCAUUUGAAUUAAUUGUUGAAUUAUGGCUCAAAUCUUCAAUAUUAUCUUCUAAAAACGUCUACAAAAAUGUAUAUAUAGAAGAUUACUCUUUUUAACUAAAUGCAAAAAAGGAAAACCGAUAAGAAUAAGAAAAAAAUAGCAAAAUUGAUAAAUGGAUUAGUCAAGAAAACCAUGUUUAAAUAUAGGAAAUACCAAAAAUGAAAGGAUAGCCAUGUGAUACGCUUGUAUAAAAAGAAAUUGUCCCUAUUGAUUACUUCAAAAAAAAAAAAAAAAAAUAAAUAAAUAAAUAAAUAAAGAGGCCAAUUCGACAAUAAAGGCAAUGCAUAGUCUCUCGUGGUUUCUCCUCGUCAUUGGAUUAUCCGUAGGGUUGAGUAGCGGAAAGUGGAAUGAGAAAAACUCUGUCAUCUUUACGAAUUCUCUUGGUCGGAACAAAGUCUUGAAAGUAAAUUGCAUAUCAAAUGAUGACAAUCUAGGCUUCCACUUUUUGCGCCAUGGACAAACCUACGAUUUUAGUUUCCACGAUAGUCUUUUCAAAUCAGAAUUCUAUUGUGACCUAUGGCAAGGCCCUAAUUUCAAGUUGCAUGCAGCAUUUACGGCAUAUGAAGGUGGUGGUUUGAUAGUUCAUUAUGGUAAAAAGAACUUUUGGGAUGUUAGAGAUGAUGGGAUCUAUUUCACCCAUGGCCAAAAAAUGCCCAAGUUAGAGUAUACGUGGAAGUAAUAAUUAAUCACUCAAAGGGAAAAGAUGGAAUUUAACUCAUCUUUUUGUUUUAAAGUUUGACAGAAACUUCAUUUUCUUGUGUAUUAUAGUGGACGUGAAACAUUGUAAUAAAUCAUCAAAUUAAGGCACCUUAAUAUGUAAAUGUAUCUUUAGUGUAUUAAAGAGAAACUUUAUAAGUAUGUGAGUUUUUCAAUACGCAAACAUAUCCAAGGCUUACGUCCUAACCAAAACUAAUAUUAAUUUGCACAUAUAUACAUGAUUAAUGAAUAAUGUAAGUAGACAGAGUGAGAGAUCACCCACCAGCUCUCCCUCUCCCCAAGUCAGCUUUCAUUUCAAAUCCUGAAAGGUAUCGUCGCUUGGUAGGGCGACUUAGCUACUUAAUUAGCUGACACCUGAGUUAGCCUAUUCAGUUCACAAAUUAGCACAGUUCAUGCAACAUCCACUUUAAGAACACUGGGAUGCUGUGAUAUGGGUGGUUCCGAUAUCUAAAAUCCAAUCCGCGCCAAGGCCUUUUGCUUCCCAGCUCAUCGACUUUGCAGCGUCAUGGUUGGUGUGAUAGUGAUUGGGCCGCCUGUCCUCUUACUAGACGCUCUCUCACAGGUUAUUUUGUACAACUUGGUGACACAAAAAUCUCAUGGAAAAUGAAGAAACAACUGACUAUCACUCGCUCUUCCGCAGAAGUCGAAUAUCGAGCCAUGACAUUUCUUACUCAAGAACUUAUUUGGCUUAAAAAGGUGAUGCAUGAUCUUGGUGUCUCUCAAGAUCGACCUAUGCGCAUAUUCUCUAACAAUAAGUCCGCUAUUGCUCUAAGUGCCAAUCCGGUUCAACAUAAACGUACAAAACAUAUUGAGGUGGAUGGUCACUAUAUCCAUGAUAUCCAUGCUGGUAUUAUGACUACUACCCAUGUGUCCUCUCAACAACAAUUAGCAGACAUUCUCACUAAGGCGUUGGGACAAAGAGAGAACUCCAUUUCUUUCUCUGCAAGCUGGGCAUUCUUGAUGUAUAUGCUCCAACUUGAGGGAGGGUGUUAAAUAUAUUUGCUACUUAUAUUCUUAUUAUUAGAGUGCAUCUUAGUCAAUAGCUACUAGUCAAGCUUAGUCAACUCUACUUUGCCCCUUUUGGUUUUUCCAUGGUAACCACAUUAUGUACUUUAGGUUAUAUCAUCUUUUUGUAUAAUUAUGGCUUUUAACGCCUAAUCAAGAUAACACAAAUUAAAACCAAUCUCUGUCUCUUGCCUUAAAUCUGACACUCUUUUGGAUAAGUUUCUUUUAAAAGCGUUUAAGAAAAAUUUCAACAUUGCUAAUUAUGAGAUAUAUGUCAACAAACUCAAGGCAUUGUUUUAUAAGAAUACUAGAUAUUUCGCCAAACCACUCAUGCUAUAAUGGGAGUGAAAGUCUUAAAUUGGAAUAUUAAGAAUAAGAUCUUUUAUCAUGACUCGUAAUUCAUAUCACAAAUGUCAAAGCUGAACGUUUCAAUAAAUCUAUCGAAAGCAUUAAUCCUUUAAAUAGAUGUGAAACAGCGAAAUAGAUAAGGGCACAAAGAAAACAGUAAAAGCGAUCAACAAGUUCGUAUGAGUCAAAACUCAAAAAAAAAAACAUGUUUAAAAAUAGGAAAGACCAAAAACUAACGACUAACCAUGUAAUACACUUGUAUAAAAAGACACUAUCCGUCUGUCCCUUUUCAUUAUCUACAGAUUAAUUACUUCUGAAUUUAAAAGAAGGAAGGCCAAUUCAAACAGUCAACAAUGAAUCGGCUCUCGUGUUUUCUGCUCGUUAUUGGAUUGUGCAUAGGAUUGAGUAACGCAAAUUUAAUAUGGAAUGAGAAAAACACUGUAUUCUUCAAGAGUUCCCUUGGUCGAAACAAUGUUUUGAAGAUUCAUUGCACAUCAGAAGACAAUCUAGGUUUCCAUUUUUUGCGUCCUGGAGAAACCUAUGAUUUUAGUUUCCAUGAUAGUAUUGUGAGAUCAGACUUUUACUGUGAAUUAUGGCAAGGGCCUAAUUUCAAGUUUCAUGCAUCAUUUAUGGCAUAUCAAGGUGGUGGUCUCAUAGUUCAUUAUGGUAAAAAGAACUUUUGGGAUGCUAGAGAAGAUGGAAUCUAUUUCACUCAUGGCAAAGAAACGCCCAAGUUAGAGUAUAAGUGGAAAUAAUAAUUAACCACUCAAUGUAUGAUGGAAUUGAGAUCAUCUUUUUUUACUUUUAACAAAAGCUUAUUGUUCUUGUGUACUAUUGUGGAAGGGAAACCUUUGAAAUAAAUUUAUCGAAAGUAUGUGAACUUUUGAAGACGAAAACUUUCAAUACUUAAGUCCUCAUCUAAACUAAUAUUUGUAGUUAAAUGAUUAAUGAAUAAUUAAUGUGAGAAAAUCCCUAAAAGAAUGGUGGAAAAAAAGGAAGAUGUGUCAAAUGAUUUUUGACUCAAAUUAGUUAAUCGGUAAACUAAAUACCUGAGUUAUGUAUGCUUUGGCAAAACACACUUAAUUGGGCUCACUAAUUGAAUUUACAGAUUAAGAUUUCGUCAAAGCCCAACAAAUAACGAUAUCCUAAUAUUUUUGUAGUAUAUGCAGCCCAUCACUUUAAAAAUUCCCGAACCAGAAUGCUACAUCAAAAUUAUAGCAUUCACAACAUGUUUCUUUUUGUCCAAGUGAGUUUGGAUGUAGAAAUUUGGAUACAAAACAAGUUGCAUAUUAUGAUGCAAUCGAAACUAGAGUUUAAAUGCAUCAAUUCCAUCUAUAACUAAUUAACGUAAACGACUAAAAAUCAACUAAUAUUGUCUAUGUCGACCCAAGUUAAUUCGGGUCCGCUUUUGCGAUACUUCCAGGGAUUUGUUCUAUUUUACCUUGCUUGUAGGACAUGUUCUAUGUUCUAAGCUUUUACAAUUCAGGUUGUAAGUGAAGCGUAUUUUUGUUUCAUUGCUUGUAAAUGAAACAACACAUAGUUUGUUAACGGAGUUGAUGGUUUCUAACCGCUAUAUCUCGUAGAAAAACUCUUGCUCCCAAGCUUCACUAUAUAAGGAAGAGGUUGCACACAUGACAUCACUACUAACUUUCGAUGUUGUCUUUUAAUUUUACGUUCACUCCAGAAACACAAGGAUAAAAACAACACACACACACACAAACAAAACAAAACAAAACAAAACUUGCUUGGAAAAUCUUAGUUUUUCACUUUCUCUAAAACUCUUUUUUCUUUUUUCGUCUUGUAUCACUUAUUACAUUUAUAUCUGAGCCUUUGUUAUGUAUAUAUAGCUGUAUGCAUUUGGGGCAAAGCCCUUCCGAGAACAUGUCUCCCUUCUAUGUCAAACUUCGUCUUGUGACUCUUGACCAUGAAAGCCCAUUUUUUGGGUGUGUUAGAGCAUCUCCAACAAGCCUUCUAACCUUCAAUUUAUUUUGAACCCUCUAACCCUUAUAUUUUUAGGAUGUAAAUAGUGCACCUCGAAUUUUAUGGUGCAUUUUUUACACCCUCAGGCCUCAACAACCAAAACUGAUUAUUGUUAAUAUUGCACAUAACAAGAGAACGGAAAAAUACCUUGGUAGUUUCAUAUCUGUAACAUAGUCAGACGUAUCAUUAGUUUAUUUAAAACAGUUGUACCACGAUUGUCUACGAAUACAGAAAAGGAAAAAAAAAACGAAUAUGAAAUUUUUUCCAAGGAAAAAUAACUAGUACUACGAUUUAAUGUACAAAGAUAUAACUUAAAAACCUCUGUCAAAAAUAUCAUAUAAUAAAUAUUUCUUAUAUUAAAUAUAGGAAACACAAUUCAAUAUGUAUAAGAAAAACAAUAGUAUUUUCACAUUUCCACCAAAUCUUCUAUGAUUUCAAAGAUUUUUAAUCUUUUGAUAGUGGAAGGAUCUUUGUUUAUAAUCGUCAAAGAAGAUACAGUAUCACAAUUAGAUUUAGAUACACAUGCGUGUGCAUGUAUUUUCUAAAAACAAGAAAAAUUAUACUCUCAUAUAAUAUGCAUUCUCACUUACGAAUAACUAAUUUGCAUAGGGUGUUGAUUGCGAUACUGAAUUGAUCAAAAGAUUAUUUCUUUGCUAUGUUCUUUAUUGGGGCGUAUCUAAAAUUAUGACGAUAUGUUUUUGACUUGUCAAUUCAGAAGAUUGUACCACUGAAUUAUUCUAUACAUAUUAUAAAAAUUAUACAUUUCAAAUAUGUUUUUUUCCACAUUUUGUACGAUUUUCAGACUUGAACUUUCAGAAGAAAAAAAAAACAUUUGCCUUUAAAAAUACAAACUAUAUUCAAAAUCUAAUUGAAAACAAAGAAUGACAGAAGACAACACAAAUGCGCAAAAAAAAAUAAAAAAAUCAUGAUCGUACAUAUGAAAGAGUUUCUUUUAAAUUUAUCAAAAAAAAAAAAUCGUGAAGGAUUUUCUUUUAAAACUUUUUUUAACUUUCUGCAAUGUGGUAUUUUUAUACAUAUGCCACAUAACACAAAUGUUUUUUUUUCUUUUCCAUUUAAUCCGACUAAGACCUAAUAAUUAAAAGAUAUACCUAUCAUAAGUUACCAGUUUUAUUUAUUUCUGAUCAAUUUCAAAGGUUACUGACCACAUAUCAAAAAAUAUUAUAAGAUAUAAAGAAGCAAGAAUCAACCUUAGUCAUUGUAAGUGCAAAGGCUGCCACCAAACUUAACCAAGAAAAAUUAAAUAUGAACUCCUUUUCCCCCAUCACUAAUCAUUCUUUUUGUUUCUUUGAUUAUUAAAUUUCAUGUUUUAUGUUUGUUUAUUAUUUUAAGGCUUAUCUAGAUUGAACCCAUCUUAAUAUUACAUUAUGACUUAUUAUUAUUGAAUUUCAACUCACUUUCUAAGCCAAUAAAGGUGAUCGAUGGACAUAUGCUUUUGGCCUUAUGCCAGAGAGUUAUUGAUUUAUACCAGUUGCAGUCUCAAAGCACAUAAUAUGACCUUACACAUAGACAACAGUCACAACUUUUCAUAUCUUUGUGUCUUUAAAUUAGAACUAAGAAGAUUUAUUUAUAUAUGUACAACUAGUCUUUUUUGAAUAAACUAAAACAAAAGCUUUAAUUUGGCCUAAAGAAAACACAAUCAUUUGGAAGAUGUGGUAAUUAUAUAAUACAUUUAUUCGAAAUCUCCUUCUCAGCCUUCUUACUUCGAAUAACAUAUCUACUAUAUUUUUGGCAUAUCAAUAGUUUUUUUGGAGUUUUAAAAGUAUGUGUAUAAAAGAAGUUUAAGAAUAACAAUUCAAAGAUAUAUGUCAUCCAUAAACAUAUUUCUUCUACUACCAUAGAUCAUAUUAAAUUCAUUUACUACACAAGUUUAUGUUUCAAAUACUAUAUUUUAAAACAUGUUACAUAAACCAAUCAUGCGGGUUUUUGAGUUUGUUCUCGUCACACUUUACACAAAACAAUAGAAAAUGUCUUUUUGAGGAAAAAGAAUUAACAUAAUUUGAUGUCAUAGUAACAUUUAUUCCGAUUUGUAUCCCUCAUGAAAUUCAAAAUCUCCCUCAAUCUCAAAAUCUUCCUUCUAGCCGUGCUUUACCAAGGCAUUCCAAAUCAAACUAUUUAAACCGCGAAAAUCCUCAUGAAACCAAUGGCUUCAAUAUCACUUGAACUCCAUACUUAGGUUUUAUAGUAAGCACAACGAUUGGGGCAUGCCUAUAAUUCUUUGAUAUUGUGAAGUUAAACUUUGAAAUUAACGUGGCUAAUAUUAUUUUAGCUUCCAUCAACGCAAACUGUUGUCCGAUGCAGUUCCGUGGACCGGCUGCAAAUGGGAUGAAAUGGCGACCAGACGCGAAUGGUCUGCCUCCAAAACGUUCGGGAUUGAAUUGGUUCGCGUCUUUACCCCAUAAUUCUUCACUGUGAUGGAUAGCAAGAACCGGUAUCCAUAUUGAUAAACCUUUAGGAAUGGUUAGAUCACCUAGUUUUAGAUCUUCAAAUGCCAUCCUUGGUAGAAGAGUAGCUGGAGGGUAAAGUCUUAGUGACUCGUUAAUCACUUUGCUUAACUGUUCCAAAGACAAAGAAAAAGAAGUUAGAAGACUAUUCUAUUAAUUCAUUUUGGAAUCAUAUCUUUGUGAUCAUGCGAAGUGCUUCUUGACUCUUUCUCAAACAUCUUUUAGUUUGGGAAUUGACUUUUCCUUUUGAAAAAAAUAUCAAUGAAGCUGUCAAGAUCUAAUCAUUAGUUAAUACAUGUUUAGAUUUCUUAGAUAAUAUUUUAUGCAAAGCAUGCCUUAGUGCUAAUCACUAAACAAAUGGAAGAUGUCUUAUUUAACCAUUUAUUUAUGCCUGAAAGAUCUAUUUACCAAUAUCUAUAUCGUAUCAAAUUUCAAACCUGGCUUAACCAAUGCUAAUCAUAUCUAAAUAGUAUCACUAUAAAACUAAUCAGAAAGUAUGAUUCUAUGUAAAUCGGUUAUAAUAAACAUGUAACGAUUUAACCCAAUAUGAAUAUAUCUUUAAAGCUCAAUAAACAUACACAUUGUUAAAAAACAAUAUUUGUGUUCUAACUAGGAUUGAAGAUAAAGGAAUAAAGACAAAAUUAAAUGAUAUCUACUCAUUAGGGUUCUUCUGUGCCGACUAUGACUAUGUUAUAAGCUUAGUUAUGGAAGAAGCACUACGAUGCUAGUGGCAUUGUCUAUACUGUGUUAAAUGUUAAUACCCCACACGCACCCAUCCAUCCAUCAUAAAGCUAAUUCUACUAGUCAAAUAAAUUAAUAGGUUACUAUAAUAUAUAGUUAUAUGAUUAUUAUUUGGAGCAAACAACAAAUAUUAUCUUUUUAUAUCUAUGAGUUAAUGGAGUUCGAGUCACUGAUGCGUGGUCAGACAAAAACUUAAGGUUGAAAAGUUGAAACGGUCACUGAUGGAUUAGUACUAAACCGUAUUUUCAUGAUUUUUUAACAACACCAAACUCAUGAAUGGUGAGCCGACGUAACCGCAAGUAGACUAAUAUGUCUCGUCUGCUAGCUAUUUACGUUCCAAACUUAGGUAAAACUUAAUUCCUAUGUUAACAAUCUCACCAAAAGAUAAGACUUUGCAAGAGAAGGACUAAUUUUAUGUCUAGAUUUUAGAAGUUAUUGUAUAAUAUGUAUUGAAAAGUGAAUGUACGUACCGAGGUUAGCUUAGAUAGUUGAUCGACUGAGGGAAGGCCAUUGCGGCCAAAGACCUCCCUGACCUCCUCACGGACUUUUUCCUGCCAUGUGGGAUUAUCGGCGAGGAGCAUUGUUGUCCAUGUGAGGAGCAAAGCCGUGGUUUCAUGGCCAGCAAAGAAGAAUGUCUUGCAUUCAUCCAUUAUCAACUGAAGAUUGUUGUUGUUAUUGUUAUUGUUCUUGUCAAUAUCCAUUUCGUUCAAGAGAAGCCCGAGAAGGUCGUCACCGUGAGUGCUACUCCUACCCAUUUCAGCGCAGUCUCGCCUGCUUUGUAUGAUCUCAAUCAACAAACGCUCAACUUCUUUUUUCAGAGACUUGAUCUCUCUGUUGUAUUUGCUUGGAAGAAACCUACAUAUACAAAAGAUUUGUUAUUAAGUCAAUGUUAGACCACAGUUAAAGUUUAAUCCUAAAACAAUAUACGUUUUAAAGCUUCACCGAGGAUCACAACAAAUAAAUAGAAAAACUAAAUUUUGUUAUGUAUAACUUAAUGUUUAAGAAUUUGUAUGGUGGCAGCCGCGGUCUGUCUGCUGCCACCAUUACUGAAAAUAUAGAGAUUAAUUACGAUUUCUAGGGUGAGGAAGAAAACCAACCGGCUGCCGGGAAAGCAGAGGUGGCGGGUGGCUUGAGCGCAACGGCGCUGGAGGACAGUGAGGUGGUUGAAAAGCUCUUUGCCUUUCUCAAAGCUGCUUCCGAACUUUGUCCUCGAUAUAAUAUCAGCCGUGAGUUUAUGCAUCUCCUCUCCUAUCUCCACCUCAUUUGCUCCUUCCCCAACUUCCUUCCUCAACCUCUCAACUAGCUUGCUUGUGCACUCCACCAUAUGCCUUGCGUAUCCCUACAUCAUAAGGGUACUUCAGUCAUUCAACGUCAAGUAACUAAGCAUUGUUUUUUGCAUGAGGCUAGUUUAUUGACGUGCCUUGAGUCUUUCUCCGGUAAAUGCCGGUGCAGCAAGGUGGCGUUGGUGGUGCCAAUCUUGGCCAUUAGCCAUUAGGAGACCGCGACCGAUAAAAUUCUUAGUCCCUUGUUGUUGUAGCCACGAUCUUCCACUAACACCGUUGUGUUUCAUCAGCAACUCCUUUAUCAAUUCCGUUUCCGUUAAGCAAAGCCGAGGAUCCGUCCCGUUCCACACAAUAAACCUCUUCCCUGUUUCAUCAAAACGUAAAUUUAUCUAAGGAUUACUCAUUUUAUUACAUGUAACCCUCCUUUAAUCAAAGGCCAAACAUUCUUCAGUAUGUUUUACGGAGAAAAAACAAAAAAUACAUGGAGGGUAUUUCCGUCAUUUUAUCUGGCUCCAUUGAUAGAUGUCACUUACAAUUAACAGACCAACUUAAUAACGAAAUCUAUGUAUAGACUUCACGACCAAGAAAACACAAACUUGUUACAAUUCAAGACCAUACCGUAUUGUUUGGACCAAGCAACGUAAUGCGGGAGAAGGCGGCCGACGAUGUCAUGGUGAAUAGAGUCACAAUCCUUGGAAGCGGAUUGCGAAACCAUGGCCGAGAUUUCAAGGAUAUUUCCGGUUAACGGACGCGGUUUAGGACCCGUUACGCCUUGCUGUUCCAUGAUCUUCUUGAUUCGUCUAGGUGUUAGCCAGUAGCACGAUAUGGUGUCGUAUAAAACUCUCAAUAUCGUAGUCACGAAUAUCACGAGGAGUGAUUUUAAUAUAGUAAGCAACAUUUUUGGGUUUUUUCUUUUCUUCUUCCAGCAACAAAGAUUCGAAAAGAAAAACAAGAGAUAUUAAGAGGGUGAGAUAAAGAGUAAUGGUGUAUUUAUAGUGUCGAGAUACAAUAUAAAUUCAUGUAGGGUACUAAAUCUGGGAGAACUAAUUAUGGUAUAACUUUGUUGCAUAUUCUCACUUAAAGAAAUGGAAGAUAUUGAGACUAAUUAAAUUAGUAAAUCUCGUUAUUUUUUACCUUGCUUGGCUAAACGUUUCCAUUUAAUUCUUAUACUUUUAAGAGAGACACUCCAAAUUAUUAUUACAGAAACAAGUUGUGACAUUUCACAAAUGCCAACUUUGGGAAGUUUCCAGAACUACAAAAAAAAAAACAUUUAUGUUCACGAAGGGUUCCUAAAAGUUUAAGAAAUAAAGUAUCCCUAAAUUUUUAAGAACUCUUCUUAAAUUAUAAGAAAUGUUUCAAUCAUUUAGUAUUACUUCCUGAAUUUUUAAAACAUUUUAUAAGAUUAAAAUUUGUGGCCUUUUCUUAGAAAAUGUUGUAUACCAAAUAUGAUUAAAAAAAAAAAAAAAAAAACUCAUUUCCUGAGAAUCAAAAGAGAACAUCUCAGCUCAAUUAUGAUCGAAUCUUGACCAUAAUUAUGUACUAAAACUUAUAUAGCGUAUUACUGAGAGGGUCGAGAGAGAAAAGGACUUGAAAAUAAAAUUAAGUCUCCUGAAACAGUAAGAACUACCAAGAAUUGUUCUCGUAUUUGUCCCAGUCCCAGUCCCAGUCCCACACAAAGCUGGAUCACAUAAACCAUUCAAAAUCACUGCUUAGGUAUAAGUGUUUGAUUUCUCUUUUAAUUCGCCUAUGAUCCAAUCUUAACCAUAAUUAAUCUAUGAGAUGUAAAGUUUCAAGAAUUUGUUUCUAAAGACAACACAAAAAAAAAAGGUCGUGUUAAAUACAAUGUGCUUGAUAUAUAAAAAGUUCGAUCCUGGCCGUCUCAUUAAGGGGACAACAUAUUAAUCUGAUAGCUAUGACCUGUGUCGCUGUAACAUUCGGGACAUGAUUGCACAACACAAAAUUUCAUUAAAACCUUACGUUUCCUUUCAUAAAGGUAAAAUCUCUACCCCAAUUUUUGAAACCACCCCAAAUUUUGAAACCUACGUCAUCAACAAUUUAUACGCAUUGGAAUAUAGACCAACAUUUAGUAAAACCUGGACCAAAUACAACAAGUCUGAUGUUAAACCACCGUUUCUGUCUAGCUCGAUUCUACUGUGAUGAUCGGAGUUGGUUCGGUAAAGACCCUAAGCUACAUUAAAUCUAUAGGCAAAAAGACAGAGAAAACAAAAAUGGAACCGAGUUAAACAACCUUGCUCUUCAGAUUUGCUUCUUUUCUUUAUCAGAGGAUCCGAAAUGACUUGACAAAGUCCACUGCGUAUAGUUGGUGUAAAAGGCAAACAUUAUAAAGUAUGAGAAACAGAGAAUCAUGAUCAGUGCUUCGAAUAGGAAAGGGUACUUCUGAGGAGGUUUAAUGGUAAGAUAGAGGACAUGAAGAACUACGGAGAUGAAGAAAUGGGUUCGUAGUAAGAAAACAUAACCCGGGAAGUUUUUAAAGGAGAAAAAUGAAACGUCGGUUUUCUGUAUCGCAUGGUGAUUCCCGGGUGAAUGAUAGAUGACGGUGAAGAGAAAAGAUAGUGUUAAGUAAGGGAUCAAGAGUUUGUCACGGCAAAGAAGAGGGAACAUCGAGAAGAGAGCGUAAUAGGUUAAAUGACUGAAAUGGUCAGGUAGUUUGAGAGCUAAUAGUGUUGCGGAGAGAAAAGGCAUCAGGAUUGAUUUCUCAUGCACUGCAGAUUCAAACACAAUGAAAGAAAAAAAGGGACUGUUAGAUAUUAAUUGAUGGCAACCGUGAUCGAAGAUCAAAGUGAAAUAUUUAUACCUUGGAAGGAAAACAAGUAGAAAGCCAUUGAACUGUUGAGCAAGCCAUAUAGGAAACCUUCAUUGCUUGGUGACAAGAUUUGCUGAACCAUUGAAGGAAGAGAAGCCAAUAUAGUUGCAGCUAAGCUGAUAGACUUGAGGGAUUGUGUUGUGAACAGAUUUUUCCAUUUUAUGAGUAUGGAAGUAGUGCACCAGAAAUUUGCCACGUAAUCCUCGUAUAUUCCCCUCUCAAAUGGAGCAAGACGGGAGAGAACCUGCAUCAUCAGCCAUUUACUUCAUAUUAAUGAGCACGAAAACGAAUGAGACCUAUUGGGUGUAUGCAAUUUACAUCAGAGGAGGAAGCAAAGAGUACAAUCUCUUAGUUCUACCAGAGACAAACAAUUAGUUUUCUCGAGAAAUUAUCAAAUACGUAUUUACCAUUAAGAAGUCGUCCAAAGAAUGCACAUAUGGCCACCAAAAAAUAACAAAUGUCACUAUGACUGCAAUUCCAAGCUUAAUCACAGAAAGUAUAGGGCUCUUCCGUCUUAGGCAUUUACCCAGUAGAUGGCUGAAAAAGGCAGGAGCAAAGUAUGCACUCAUCUGCAACAUCGACACAAUGGAAAAAGUGUGACCAGCAUGUUAUAAACGGGAACAGAACAGAAAUGAGGUACAUACAUAAACAAAGGGGUAUAUCAAGCACCACAUAAGAUUAACAAUAUUGUAUGUAUAGAACAUUUUACAUAAAUGCAACGAUGUGAAAUAUGUAUGGCCAUAAACACUACACUACAGUCUCAACAAAUUAGACAUUUUGACAUAACGGUAGUAACUACUCAUAUUUUCCAGGGAACUAAAACCAUCUAGUUUUUCAGUCUAUGAGAUUGAUAAAAGCCAUUACGUGUCAGAUCAUCUACAAGUAUACCAACUUUCUACAAGGGAAACAUAAGAAUACAGAAAUGAAAUCCCAAAGUCACCUGUUUAUGGCUGAGGGCUAGACUGAACAAGACACAAGUGAGAACCUCGCUCUCACAUAGUACCGCAGCAAUAGCACCAACUGUAAGUCCCAAGCUGAUACAAUUGUACUAUAACAAAUAAAAAUUCUAAUGAGAAUCAUCUUACAACCAUAGAAAAAGGAUACAUAAUCACAACACCAAUAGAGGUAACGGUCAAUACAAACCUGAAAAUGACCGUGAUCAAUGAGGAUCAAGCAAGGGUUUAAGAGAAUCAUAGCAAUAUGCCAAGCCACUUCACUCUUACCACCCCUAGUUCGAUUCCUAUGGUACACCAACACGAAAAACAGAGCAGCUGGGAAAAAUAUGAAAGCAUCAGACGAUAAAACUGUCCAUCUCAUCAACAAUUUUCUGCAUAACAAAACUCGAAUUAGUAAACCCUAAUUACACAACAAGCAACCAAUUGAAGAAUCAGAUCAUUUACCCAAGAUAAGAUUCGUGACCACGAGAGCUUAGAAGAGCAACAGAUUCAGGAUUGAAGAAUCGGAGGAAGAUUCCAUGGAUGUAACUUUGAUAAGCAGUUAAAGGAGGAUAAUCUAAUCCCCAGUAAGUGAGAUCGUUGUAAGUGCCAUUUCUAUACCAAUCGAUAACUGGAAGAUUUGUGGUUAUCUCCAUCCAAUGUCUCUGAGCUUCGAAAUCGCCGAAUUUAGGAGGAAUUCCGGCGCCGGAGUAUGGAUACAUUGUUACAGCAGAUCGGAUCAGUAAUGCGAAGAGGGAGAUGCAGAGAAAUGAAGUUGUGGUUCCUUUAUGUGUUAGCCACCACCAAGUAUCAAUCGAAGAUCCGGUUUGUGGUGAUACCGGAAUGGUGAUGUCAUCUUCGCCGGAAUGUUUCGCCGGCUUCUUCUUCGGCAUCCUUUGUUUUGUUUGUCUUCUCCGUUUAGUUUUUUUCUCACCUAAGCUAAGCUGAUGCAAAAUCGAUUUACGGGGAUCGGUCUCAGUUUGGGUUUAGGAAAUAUUAAUAAAAGGCCCUUGUAUUUUUAUGUUUCUAUAAAUUUAUCCUUGAAAAAUACAAAAACACCAUUCGACUCACUUUUUAUUUUAUGUUAACAACUUGGCUAAAGACACAUCACUAACACCAUUCGACUCACUAAAACUAUGAAAUAUAACUUUCACAUUAUAGGUUAUAGACUCGUUUUGAAUAUUUUUAAAAAGACUAUAUGAAUAUUUUUAAAAAGACUAUAAUACAAUAUAUAUUAAAUUUUUGAGAUGAAAAUAGUAAAGAUGGUUGGUUUGAGAUGAAAAUAAUAAGGAUGGUUGCUAUGAGAAAAUGUUAUUCUUCAAAGGGAAAUAUUUUUUCUUAAAACAGGGAUUAGCGAUUCGCAUCCUCUUCUGUCUUUCUUAGUACGUUUGUGUUAUAGCUUCAUUUCGAAUGACUGGAUUGUCCGAAUUACUCAUGUGUAUAGGGAAGCUAAUCGUCUCGCAGAUGAAUUAGCGAAUCAUGCUUUUUUGUUACUUUUGGGGUUUCAUAGUAUUCUUCUUAGGCUUGAUUUUGCUACUUCGAUUAUUUUUGAGGAUGAUAGUGUUGUUACGCGCCCACGGAAUAUUCGUGUGUAAUUUUUUUUUUUUAUUUUUUUUUAAUAAUAUGGGAGACUAAUCUCCCUCAUUCUACCAAAAAAUUAAGGGAAAUAUUUUUUCUUAAAUUUGUUGAUAUGAUAAUUAUGGUCUACAUAAUAUCGUGUUUUAAAUCAAUAUAUAAUAAAUGUUGGUUAAAACAAGAGCAAUAACAUAAUUUUGGUGAAAUUUCUUGGGAAGGUAAGAGGAAAACUUCCUUGAUAGCAUGGAAGUAUGUAAAUUAGGAAAUUUCAACAAAGCCUUACUUGUGAAACAAUUCGGCCGGAUCGUACAUUUAUCGAAGCUAGUUACUUCCUUGUAAAAAGUUUUUUAUGUAGUGAUGGUGGUUGUAGACCUUUGUAUACUUGGAAUAGUGUUCUCUAUUGAUGAGAUCUCUUGAAAAGUGGCAUAAUAAGCAAUAUUGGACAAAUCUACUAGGGUUUGGCUUGAUAAAUGGCUUAUGGAUGAACAACCAAGGAGACCCACUAAGAAAUAAAUUUUAUUUAUUAUUAAACUUAAGGUUGCUAAUUUGUUGAAUGAGAGAGGUGUUAAUUUCUCCCAAAUGAUGUUAAUCAAGUCUUAUUGAUUUAUCUUAAUUCAAACAAGAAAGAUUUUUCGUUUUGGCGAUUCAAUAAAACUGGAGCUGAAAUCAAAAUUCUUUCUAGGGAUAUAAAGAGUUUGUUGGAUUCAUCUCUUGAAAAAUUCUUUAAAAGCAAAUCAGGGAACUAGACGAAGAUUUUAGCGGAAGUAGCUCAAAAAGCAAAAGCAUCCAUGAAAAUUGCUAUGGUAGAUGAAUCACGAAAAGCUGAAAAAGCUCUGAUCGCUAGUAAAUAGUAAUAAUAGAUUGAGUCUAGUUGAUCAGAAGAAACUUGCACAAGUUAUCAAGGUGGUGGUCGAAAUGGAGGAUGAACUCGAGGAGAAGGUUCAAAAAGUCGAGAAGAUAAACAGAAAGGUAGAUGAGAAGAUGAAGAAGAAGGCAAAGAAGAGACAUUUUUCGUUUUUGGUUUGUUGAAUGUUGAUUCGUCUUCAGCUAUCAUAUCAUGUCGGUGUUAGACUUAAAAUAAGUGUUUACCAAUAACUUAUACAAGAGAGGUUCUACACCGUUUACCAAGAGAAUCAAAGAAUGCAAAGUUUGUAACUUUUGUUUGUGGUUUAAAAGAACACCACAAUCAUUGUUGAAUGCAUAACAUAUUUCAACCAGAUAAGGAGUUAAAGAACUUUUAUAUGGAUCUAAUACUUAACCACUAAUACUAAAAAUUGAUCUUGAAGCAACAUAGGAGAUUUGAGUAGUUAGAACAUAUCUAGCAAAUUCUGAUCUAUUGUGAAAAGAAUAACUAGAGACGGAUGACUUAAUUUCUAUAUAGCAUUUGGAGGGUCAUAAUGACUUGUUUUUAUUUACGUGUUUUACGUUAUUUUGUUUUUGUCAAAAGGCUUUCAUAAAUUAGUAAUACUCUAUAAAUAAAUAAACACAAUAAAAUACUCUUUCUUAUCGAUUUAGGUAUGGCCAAUGUAAAAAACUAAAAAUUAACAAAAUUUUGAAACUUCUAUACAUUUUUAUGGUUCUAGUAAUAUUAUAAAUUUAUACAUAUAUAGCUAAGAUAAUAUUCUAAAUAUGACUAUAAUAUUGUUUGUAAUUUGAAUUAUUGUUAGCGUUAUUCUCUAAUGUUACUUAUUAUUCAAAAACUCUUCGGUGUUUUCGAUUUGUAUCCAAAUUUUAUGAUAAAUUCUAAACACGAUAAUUAAUUUACAAAAAUAAAGUACUUAUUUGAGUACCCUUAAAUUUAUGUUUACUUGACUUCCCAGUUCCCAGCCAGUAUAAAUCUUUUUCUUAUAUUUAAAUUAAUUAAUUAACUUUGGAUAUAGAAUUGAAUUAUUAGGAAAAUAUAUACAUAUCAAUCAAAAAUAUAAUAUUUAUAAGCUUAAUACAAACAUAGAAAUAUCUAUAUCUAUAUAUAUCUAGCUUAAUUAAUUGGAUAGUAAAAGCUUAUCUUUGCAUUUUUAUUAUUUUAAUUAAUUACUUGUAUAUAUAUAUUAUUUUAAAUACUUAUUAGCAUAUUGACAUUUAAGAUACAAGGUU
rnacentral:lncRNA from 1 species